rnacentral:lncRNA from 1 species
AUAGACCAUCUCUCUCACCCUCCGUCGUCUCUGUCGCUGAAAAUCGCUCCAUGGCUGCGGGCAGUCCCCAAACGACCCCAAAUCUUCACCCUAUAAUGCCUACCUAAUUCUCAUAUCACAUCGCUUCGUUUCCUUCAAAACCCUCAAGAAUCUCUCAAUUUGUAGAUCUUGGAAAUCCUAAAACCUAAAUCCAUCCUUUUUGAUUUUUUCUCAAAUUCUGGCUUGUUAAGGCUUAAAACCAUUACCAAUCGACUUCUCUUGUUUAGUAUUACAGAAUGUCAUUGGUUUCAUCUCGUUUCAAGAUGGCCGACCGCCGACCAACUCACCAUUGACCGGCCAGAAGUGCUGAAAUUCCACAAAGGUUGGUCUUUUUGGCCGAAUUAUGGCUAACAUCGUCCCAUACAGCAUUAAUUACGCCCUCAAGCAUAAGCCAGUGCUCAUGUGGCGAUGUCGUCUCUCGUCCGGAAUUUUUUUCUCUGCGGCCAACAGUGCUUCACAUGGUAAUCCUCUACUUCUUUUUUUCAUUCCUUGGAGUUGUAUUCUAUGUCUUAGUUGUUAAUUAUUAGUUCAUUUUUAAUUUUGGUUUGACAACAUGCUUAGGUUUAUUAUUAAUCACUAAUAAAUUUAUUUUAGCUUUGUAAGUAGUUAUUUCCAGAAUCUGAAGUUUAUAUAGUUUUGGUCUUAAAUGGUAUAUUUGUUUAAUCAACACGUUAAUUACCUGGUGAUUCCUGCUGAGUUAUGUUUGUUAACCUUUAUUAGUUUAAGUUUAGUUAAUUCUUUGCUUAAUGCUGUCAAGAGAAGGAAGGCAGUAAUUUUGGUUAGAAGAUAGUAAGCGUUGAGGUAAAAGGAAAAGGUUAAAAGAAGGGUUAUUAACAGGAACUUGAGGGGUCUAAAGAAAUAGGAAACUUGGGGAACCUUGGGUAUAACUGACUUAUAAUCUUCUAGAAUAGGGCAGUAAGGGAUGGAAAGCAAUAAAACAGUAAAAAUUAGGUCAAAAAUGGACUUAAGGAUUAAAAUACAGAAAGUAAAAGGGGCUGGAAAGAAAGAGAGAUAACAAAAUACAGCUAUGGGAAUAUUCUAUAUAACAAACUCUCUGACAUUCUGCAGCCUCAUGCAAUUCACUCCCCAAUUUUUUUCAUUUUAUUCUCAUGCUCAUCUGUCGACAUCCUCUACACAUUUCUUUCAUAUUCACUCUCCCUUCACUCAUUUAUACGAAAUUCACUCAUUUAUCUCAUCUCACUCACAAACUCACACUCGUUUACAUACACUUAGAGACCUCUGGAAAUGGAAAUACAAAAAAAAAUAGUGAAGUUUUAGGUCGAUUUAUAUACUCAAAAACAGUUAGUUUGUGUUUGUUAAUUCAAAGACAUCUCCUACAUGUGUUCCCUAGGUUUUAAAGCCGUUUAAUCAGUAAUUGAAAUUGUCUUAUGUUGUUUCUUUGUCAAUUAGUAGCUAAGCUUCAGUUUAGCAGCUCUCAACCUUUAAUUAGUCAUUUUAAGAUUUAUUUUCUAUUGUCGAUUGCUAAAACUUUGCUGAGCUCUGUUCAAGUAUGUUUUUAGCCUUUGUUUGGUCUUCUCCUAGUACUUUCUAGCCUUGAAAUGGUAAGUCCAAACACUCAUCUAUUUAUGUCUUCCCUUGAACGAAAAGCUUUUAAUUUCUCUGAAAUUUUGGAUUGAUCUGUUGAAUACUCAUGUGAGCAUAACAACAUGAACUAAUUUGCAUGCAUUGUUUGCUAUAUUACUUGAGAAAUAGACAUAAAAGUAGAUUGUGAAACUAUGAGUUUUCUCUGUUAAUCUCUGUACUAAUUUUCUUAUCUCAUAAUUUGAUUAAACAUGAAUUCUAGACUCGAUACAUUUAUAAUAUUUUGUUCAAGUGAUUUUAUGUAGUAAUUUAUAACGAGAAAAGGCCACUGUUGCAACAGAUAUAACAGUCGUUCAUGGAUUUGGCCAUUAAUUGGUCAAAUUUAUAAAUCUCAAAGCCAAAAUAUUUUAUUAGAAGUGUUUGGAGCUAUUGUAAUUCGUUUUGCUCAAGUAGAAGCAUAAAUUUUCAUGUUGGGACUGUAAUAUGAUUUUUGGACAUGAGUAUAUUGUAUUAUGUAAAGUCACAUGGGACUGAGGUUUCAUUCGAUCCAACUUUAUUCUUUAUCCUAGCCCACAAAUACUAGUAAUUUUAAAUAUUGUAACUUUGCUAUUAUGUGUUUUCCUUUAGAUUUAAACACACUUGUUUGAAAUUAUCUCAUUGUUUACCAUAUUACAUGCCAAAUUCAUAAAGCUGAGCACUGUUGUCACGUGGCCUCUAAUACAUUUGUCAAUAGAUUCUCGUGACAUAUUAAUUAGCGCAUUAAAUAAAGACGAAUUUACACACACGUGAUUUGUUUCAAGAUAAUUCCAUAACACCAUAAUUAAAAAAGGUAAAAGGUAAAACUUAUAUAGGUUCUAAAAUACGUAAUUAAUAAUUAAUUAAGCCAACUUAUGAUUAUAAAGUGACCGCACUAAAACCGCAGAAUCCGGAAAUGCCUACCUUCUCCCGGGUUAACAGAAUUCCUUACUCGGUCUUCUGUAUUUCACAAACUUUAAACAGAGUCAAAUUUCUUUGAUUUGGAAUUAUAAAAUAAUCUAGUAACUUGGGACACCAUAAUAAAUUAUUCCAAGUGGUGACUCUUAAAAAAUAAAAUAAAUCAAUCCCAUUUCAAAUAAUGUCACUUAAAUUGGAAAAACUCCUUUCCCCGCAAAAAGGAGGUGUGACAACUCUGACUACUCUACUGGGAAAAUAAAUCUAGAACUCCUAGUUCCGGACUCAAAAUUCGAGCUUGUAAUGUGAUUUAUACUUGGCUAUAUUGAUUGUAUGAUAUUACUGUAUUUGUGGGCCUUAUGUGCUAAUUUUUGCUCAUUUAUCACUUUGAUAUUAUUUGAGCUGUAUAAACUAUCUUCUUACGCCUCCCUUAUGAGUCUUCUGAAUUUAUGGUGCACUCAUGCGCGUGGCCCACUUUUCUGUUAGAGGUCAUAUAAAAUAGAACGACGUUGGAUAAGUAACUAGGCCGGGUAGACUUUCGUGCUCCCGGUAUGUUGCCCCCACCUCGGCUCAAGCUAUCCGCUUGGGUAAGCCAGGUCUAAAACUUACCCCUAGGAUUUAAACCUAGAAUAACAUAGCCUCAUCCUGAAUACCUAGUAGGAAUGUUUGUUUGCAUCACGCGCAUUUGACUUUGGGGACUCAACACAGGGGUUGGGUCCAUCUAGGACAGGUAUACCUAAAAAAUAAAAGACCAUCCUGAUGCAUCCUAUGUGCUACUUUUACAUUUUGUUUGAUCUGGUUUGUAUGUUGAUCGACUUUUAGAGUAAGUACAGAAAAUUGAGAAAAAGCAGAAGUGAGAGGUAGGAGAGAGAAAAUUCAUCCGAUUUCUAAAAACUCCAGUAUUUGAAAAAUUCUGAAACUCUGUCUAAAUUUUUUUUUUUUUGAAAAAAAGAAGAAGGAAAGAAAGGUCGUUUCAAAAUGAGCCACGAUUUUCAAGUGUCAUAUUUCUCCUCUUCCAUCAAAAUUGUACCGAAUUAUGCAGGUCUGAUUCUCACCAAAUAUGAGAUACGUAGGCAACCUACAUAGGGUUCGGCCUCAUUUUUGGAAAAGAUAACCAGAAAGAAAGAAAUGUGUCCAGUGUUUUGGUCAAAUAAGUAAGCCGACCUAGCUUCAGUUGCAUCCUGAGCCGUUUAUGUCGGAAUAGCCUUAGAAACAUCUUCAAAAUUGUCAAAGGGCUAUUCUCGCAAGAACGAAUGUGUCUGUCAAUUAGGCGUCACUUUUAGCAUAAUUCCCCCCCUUUCUUGGAAACACGAAGGGGCCAUAGUUGCAAAAAUAGCCACCUCUUUCCUUGGACAUAAUUGCACAUAUAUCUACCCCCUUCUGACUUUUCAUAAAAAUAGUUUAAUUUACAAAAGAUUAUUUUGCAAAAAGAAUCCAUUGGUUUUGUCUUUUGAAACUACUGUCAACCCUAACCUUAACCAUCUAGAGGUACAAAAUGAGCAUUGUUCAGAACAUGCCGUUAACAGUGGUAGACUAGGCUCCACUUCAGCUUUAGAUGUGGUGGUAUGACUUGGGGUAAGAUGGUCAGUAAUGAGUAACAAAGCAUCUGGGCGUCAUCACAGAUAUUAUUAAAGUUAAACCACAAGACGAUUUGAUUGAGGCACUAGUGACCUUUUGGGAUCCCGUUCAUAAUGUCUUCCGCUUCUCGGAUUUUGAGCUUACUCCCACUUUAUAAGAGAUAACUGGAUAUUCCGCAUUCGGCAAGGAUUUAAGAAACCAAAAACUCAUAUUCCCAAUGGCUCUCUCUGUGCAUCGAUCUUUGAUCUUCUGAAUAUCAGUAAGCAAAUUAGAAAGACCAAUGUAGUCGGAGGGUGUUGUUCUUUCACCAUUGCUUCGCCUUCAUAGUGGCAUUUCUAGGAAUUAUAGUCUUCCUAAAUGAGGAGCGGACAAUUGAUACCCACGUAACCCGGAUCGUACAGGUCCUCACCACCAAAGAACAUCACACUUUUGCCCUGAUCAAUCUAUCAAACAUUUAUCGGGCAUUGACUUUGUGUAAUUCCGGGGCAAAGUUCUUCGAAGGGUGCAAUUUUUUGUUGCAAAUGUGGUUGAUUGAGCAUCUCCAACAUCACCCCAAGUUCAUGAGCUAUGGCCCGAGGAAGAACAACCUCAUUGGGAGCUACGAAGAAAGAGUAAAAGAUUACAACUGCCAGAAGGGGUGGAAACAUAGAUAUCCCACAUAAGAUCUUUAAACCCAAGUCAAAUUGAGUGGACUUUGGGAUGGCUCCUGGUAAGAUAGGUGAUACAUAUAUCGGCCCUGAAAAGUUAUUUGUUGUUGUUGAGUUUGAGAAGCGUCCAACCUUAUGCACCACAAAGAGUUCUAAAACAACUAGGAAGGUGCCUAAUAGUGCUUGAGGAUGAAAAUUUAAGCAUGCAAGUAAUUGAGCUACACCUAGAAUCCCCCACUCCCCAAGACCUUAAUCCAGCAAAUUUGGGAUGAUUGCCGGUACUUGAAAGAUGAUACCCAGGUGCCGGAUCCUACUAGAGGUGAGGUAGUUCCGGGUUAUGCUAUGUGGUUUGGGAAAAGGUCUCGUGUGGGUGAUGAGCCUGAGCCCGAGCUCGAAAGGCCAGCAAAAAGGUCGCAUGUUCCAGAUUUUGAUGACAAAAUCCAAGAACGGUUGGCCUGGGAUGAAAAAGAAAAAGGAUACCAAGCGACUAUUCAUGCCUUAGAAGAAAAACUGAGAAACCUCAAAUUUGAGAAUGACUUACAAGCGCAAGAGGUUGAAGGUGAAAAGAAAAGUUUGAUCCGUAAGAAUGAAGCUGUCCUUUCUCAGCUUAAACAGAUGAAGAAAGCCUCUAAAGUGAUGACCAAAAAUCGGAAAGACCAAAGAACUAUUGCCAGCUUGCUAGAGAAAAUGUAAGAUUAUGAUGUCAUUCUUGAAAAUACCGAAAAGGCAUUAGGAAAAGCCAAGGAAAAGAUUGGUCAACUAAGAGGGUAGGUGAAUGACCGUGUGAAGUUGUCACAACAGAUUAAGCAAUAUCACGAUGAAAAGGUCUUCGUCCUUAGGAAAGAAUUGGGUGCCCUGGAAGAGGCGUUAGGUCGUUAGUCCAAGGAAUUUGAUGCUGAAAGGUAACAUUGCUAUGCGUUGAUCAACAAGCUGGAAGGUGAUGUAGUAAACCUGUAAAACCAGAACAACAGGGCAGAGCGAGUAGUUGAAGCACGAGAACAACAUGUUGGAUGGUUGCUCCUGGAAUGAGGUGCCACUAAGCUCAGAAUCAAAGAAAUAGCUGGCUGCACUGCGAUGAAAUGCCAUGAAUGUGAGAGUAUGACUAAAGCUAUGUUCUUUGCUUCAGUGUUGUCUUUCACUUGCCACGUCAUGGCCGACCUAGAGUUUCUUCAUGGUGGGUUUGCAGGCAAGCCCGCUCAAUGAUCGACUGAUGUCACCUGGGACCCUGGAUAAUAGUUGAGAGUUAUUUGCCUUUUUUAAUUGUUCAGUCAUCAAGUCUGUAGUUUACUUUUUCUCGCAUUAAGUCUGUUUGUCCUUCGUCCAUUUCGAGUAUGUUGUUUUUGCUUCGAGUCUAUACGUUUUCCUAUCAAAAUCAGUUGUUGAUGUUUUCGAGUCAUGGUAAUCAAAAACCCAAAAAUAUUUUAUUAAUGUAAUAUUGAGAACCCUAAAAAUUUCUUUGCUUUAAUUUUACAUUUUAUUUCCCUGAACUACGUAAGGGUUUGAUUGAUGCGACGUUAUGAUACGUAGGCAAUCCCCAUCGAAAGCGAUCAUAGCCAUAAACAAAAUUGAGCGAAAAAUCAACAAAAAGAGAAAGAAACUAAGUGAAAAACAAACAAAAAAAAGAAAAACAAAGAGUGACAAAGCAAAAGAGGAAAAAACAAAGAGUGACAAAAAUAAAAGAGAAAAAAAGAGCAGGAAAUAGAAGAAAAGAGUGCAAACAUUGAAAAGACGGGGUGAAACACGCGACCGUUACAAACACAUGGUAGAAGCGUUUAACUAUUUAGGUGCAUUGCAUCCCCAACGUGCAAUUUCCCAUUUGUUAAAUGCUUUAAAACUAACAAGGUUGUUGUGCAUGCUGUUAAGCCAGAUUCUAUUCAAGUGGUUGGUUUUUGUUAGUAAUCUGGCUUCCCAUCCCUACUUCACAAGAUCUAAAGGAAAGGUUCUGAUGUCCUUCGAAAGCAGUCUACACAUUAUCAACCCCAAAGAUAGCCCAAUACAAGCUAUUCCACAAACAGAAACGGCAACUGCUGAAGAGAAUAAGUUGUUGCGUCUUCGCGUGUUGGAAAUGUGGGAUGCCUGGUCUAAUAGUAGGGAACCGCAGAGUGCAAUUCCUGGGUUCCCUGAGUUGAUCCCAUGGUCGGAUGGGGCUACCCACGUCCCUGCAUCCAACCCGUUCAUCUCAUGCGGGUACCCUCCAAUACCGUCUAACGGUCCUAGCAUGCCUUCUGUGGUUCGCCCCCAAGCAUCGGUUUCCGGGGUACCUCCAGCAUUGUUCUCUGCAAUGCCUGUCUUCACUGCGGUACAACCGACCGUGCCCAGGCCAUAUUUUGAACCUAUGACAUUCACAUUCCAGGGCCUGCAAUUUCAACAAGAUAUGACCUAUAUCACUCUGGAUUCAUAUACUCAACAUCCACAAUAUGAGUCUCCAGUUGAACCAAAAAGAACAAUAAAAAAUUCCGAGCAAGAAGAAAUGGCUCAAAAAAUAAAGAGCUGGAGCAGAGUUUAAAGAAUAUGCAGGGCCUGAGUGGCCAAAAGAGUGUCUCCUACUCUGACUUAUGCAUGUUUUCACAUGUUCAUUUUCCAUCUGGUUUCAAAAUGCCAAAAUUUGAAAAGUACGACAGGCACGGAGACCCGAUUGCCCAUUUGAAAAGGUACUACAACCAGCUAAGAGAGACUGGUGGAAAAGAGAAACUUGAUGGCAUACUUUAGAGAGAGUGUGGUGGGAAUUUCCUCUGAAUGGUACAUGGACCAGGAAAUCGCUCACUAGCACGUAUGAGAUGAACUUGCCAAAGAUUUCGUCUGCCAAUUUCAAUAAAAUGUGGAUAUUGCUCCAGAUAGAAACUCCCUAUCUAAUCUGAAAAAGAAAUCCAUGAAAACUUUCCAUGAGUAUGUUUUUAAGUGGAGUGAGCAGGCCGUUUGUGUGAAGCCACCAAUGUAUGAGACAGAGAUGGUCACAUCUUUCUUAUAGGCCCAAGAGGCCGACUAUUUCCAGAACAUGAUGUCUGCCAUGGGAAAACCAUUCGUCGAUCCAUAAAGAUUAGGGAAAUGGUUGAAAACAGGUUGAAAACAGGUUGAAAACGGGAAGGAUAUUGAGUCAGGCAGCCCUUAAAGCUACUUCUCAAGCCAUCCAGAAUGGCUCAGGGGAUCUAGCUUAUCGGAAAAUAGAAAAGAUGGAGCAUGAUGGCUUCAAGCUCAAGGGGGUCUUGCAAAUCAUUUAACUAGUCUUAUAUACCACUGCGAACCCCAUAACAUUACUACCCGUACCAUGAUACUGCAUACACCGUGGCACCGCCUCCCUAUGUGGUGAUGAACGCACAAACCUACACACGGCACCAACAAAACUACAAUCAAAGCUGAGCUCCACCUCCCAGAAAUAACCGUCCUUACCAAACUCCAUAUAAUCCUCAUCCACCACAAAAUACACCUCAUUAUAAUCCACACUGCUGAGAGCCUCCUAGCAUAAACCAUUUCACCCCCAUCAGUGAAUCAUACUCGAGUUUGCUUCAGAAGUUAAUCCAAUUGGAUUUACUACAACCUGUGGCUCUGAAUCAGCCAAAUCCCGAGUCUGUGACAUACAUUGCUGAUGCCAGAUGUGCAUACCAUUUGGGGGUGUUAGGCCAUGAUACAGAAUAUUUCUGGACCCUCAAGAGGACAGUUGAAGACUUAAUUGAAGCUAAAAGAAUUGUGUUGAUAGACGAGGAGGCUCCCAAAUGGGCCAGCUAUCGCUAUGAUCUGUGAUGAUAAAAAAUUUAACCCGGCGUUGAAGGCCAUUGUUGCUAUUGCUAGUUCGUAGUCAAAACCUAAAGUAGCAGCAAAACCAAAAAAAAAAUGAAAAGGAAAUAACCCGGUCCCUCAGGCUAUUGAAACGAAAGUUGGGUCAUCACCUGCCAAGAAUUUGGUUCUUUAUGUUCCAAAAGCCCUGAGGAAAGAACAACUUGUCCUCGGCACUUCAAAGAAGUUUGAUGAAAGUAAAGUUACAUUGAACGUGCCAAGCUUGUAUGUACCGAAGGGAACACAUGUGGCGCGGGGGACAAUAAUAUCACCAAGGCUGACUGAGCCCGUGGUUAUCAGUCCCACACCACAAACGUCAAUGGAAGAUCCUACUGCGGUUCCUUGGGAUUAUAUCAAGACAGUUGUCACUUAUAAAGGGAAAGAAGUUGUGGGGGAAGUCAAUGAGAUGACUCGGUUGGGGAGGUACUAUACCCCAGAUGAACUCAGGAAAGCUAAACAAAACAGGGACAACCAGAUACCACCCAAGAAAUCUCUGAGCAAUGAAGAAGCGGAGGAAUUCUUUAGGAAAAUGAAAACUACAGAGUACUCGAUAGUCGACCAACUCUGGAAGACUCCCUCUCAGAUCUCACUUCUAUCUCUUUUGUUGAGUUUAGAUGAACACCAAAAAGUGCUCCUCAAAACUUUGAAUGAAGCAUAUGUCCUAGUUGAAACUACUGUUGCACAAUUGGAAAGGAUGGCUGAGAGGUUUUUUGAGGUCAAUAAGAUCUCAUUCGGUCGUAAUGAUUUUCCUAUAGAGGGAGCUUCCCACAACAAAGACCUCCACCUGACUGUUAAAUGUCAGGGCUACUAUGUGAAAAGAGUGAUGCUGGAUGGCAGGUCUGGAAUAGAUAUUUGUCCCAUCUCAAUGCUCCAGAGAAUGGAAACCGGUACAGAAAGAAUUCAGUCUAAUAAUGUCUGUGUGCAAGCCUUCGUUGGGGUUAAGAGGGGCAUAAUUAGAUAAAUUGUUCUAAUCUUAACUAUCGCCCCGUAGACUUUGAGGUGACCUUCCAAGUCUUGGACAUGGAAACCUCGUACAAUUUCCUUCUUGGUAGACCAUGGAUUCAUGUUGUCAGAGCUGUUCCUUCCACUCCCCAUUAGAUGGUCAAGUUUGAGUUUGAUAAUUAAAAAAUCGUUGUCCAUGGAGAAGACAAGCAAUCUAUUUACCAGGACCCCUUAGUCUCGUGUCUUGAAGCUAGGGAAGGUAGUAAGUUUAUCGUGUAUCAAGCUUUUGAAAUUGUGGUCGAUGACCAGUUUGAAGAGGGGGCCCCGCUACCUCAAACUUGUUUGUCCAAUGCUUCAAUUAUGGUUGCCACCCAAAUGAUCAGAAAUGGUACAAGACCGGCAAGGAGCUCAGAGCAUCUCUGUAGGGCAUUAUUGAGCCCUUUCCCCCCGUCAUCAAUGAGAAGCCUUUUGGGUUAGGUUUCCGAGAUACAGCAGCUGAUAGAACAUGGGCUGGCGAACGCAAAGAAAAUGGGUGGGUCCUAUCACAACCCAUCCCACAUAUCUCCCGAUCAUUUGUCAAACAAAAGUAUGUAGAGGAAGAAGAAGAGGCCUUCACAGCCGAAGAGAUAGAUGAUAUCUGCGGAGCUCUGAAAUAAAUGCUAUAUGAAUCCGUCAUGGUCCAGCUAGGGAAAGGCACGAGCCAUGCCGAGGUGCAGUAUAUGGGACCAAAUUUCAAACUCAAGAACUGGGAGGCUACCCCAUUCCCCUUCAGGCGGGAAUCCUGGUAGUUUAUUCUUGCUAUCUUUUCUGUAUUACGGGUUAUUUCAGGGUGUAACUCGAAUGGUUUUUCUUUAAUGUCUUUAAAUUCUGAUGUAAACUCUUACAUCUUUCAAUUCAAUGAAAUGAAAUCAAUAUUUCAUUGCUCAUACAUGUCUCUUUUUCUUUUUCUAAUUUUGCUAUUUUUCAUAUCUUUUUCUUUUCAAUUCUAAUAAUGCGGACAUUAAUAAUAUGACAUGCUUGUAGACUUCAUGCUUAGAUCCUAAAAUGCUGUCUAACUUUGAAAUAAUGAAUCAAAAUGCUGAAUAUGACGAAGAUGAGGCUUUUAGGGAAAUAUAUCGAGAAUUAAAACAAUUUAAGAAUAAGCCUAAGCAAAAUUUAAAUGAAACUGAGACAGUUAAUUUGGGCAAUUCAGAAGAGGUCCGAGAAACCAAGAUAAGCAUUCAUGCUGAUGAGAAAACUAUAGAUGCCUUUAUCCAACUUUUGUUUAAAUUCAAAGACGUGUUUGCAUGGUUUUAUGAUGAUAUUCCAGGGUUGAGUGUUAAUUUGGUGGUCCACAAACUGCCUACCUAUCCCGGUUAUCCCCUCGUCCAGCAGAAGCAAAGAAAUUUCAAAAUUGACAUUAGUGAUAAGAUUAAAGAUGAAGUCACAAAACAAUUGAAAAUUGGUGCGAUCCAAGUGGUCCGAUACACUACAUGGCUGGCUAAUGUGGUUCCAGUGCCAAAGAAAGAUGGAAAAACAUGAGUUUGCAUUGAUUACUACCAAGAUCUGAAUAAGGCGAGUCGCAAGGACAACUUUCCAUUGCCUAAUAUCCGCAUUUUUAUUGACAAUUAUGCUAAACACGAGAUACAGUGUUUUGUGGAUUGUUACGCUAGGUAACACUAGGUUCUGAUGGAUGAAGAGGAUGCAUAAAGGACCACUUUCACAAUACCUUGGGGCACUUACUAUUAUAGGGUAAUGCCGUUUGGUUUGGAAAAUGUCGGUGCAGCCUAUAUAAAAGCUAUGACUGCCAUCUUCCAUGACAUGAUACAUCAGGAGAUUGAGGUAUAUGUGGAUGAUGUAAUCAUUAAAUCUAGAACUUAAGAAGACCAUGUGCGAGAUCUGAUGAAAUUCUUUGAGAGGUUGCACACAUAUGAUUUGAAGUUAAACAGCUAAAUGUGCAUUCAGAGUUUCAUUUGGGAAACUUUUGGGGUUUAUAGUCAGUCGGAGGGGCAUCGAAUUAGAUCCGAUUAGAGUCCAUUCAGGAUUUGCCACCUCCGAAGAGCAAGAAAGAGGUCAUGAGUCUGCUAAUGAGAUUGAAUUACAUCAGCAGAUUCAUCACUCAGCUUACCACCACUUGUGAGCCCAUAUUCAAGAUGUUGAAGAAAGAUGCGGCAAUCAAAUAGACAGAUGAGUGUCAAGAAGCUAUUGAUAAAAUCAAAGAAUAUCUAUCAAAUCCAUCAGUGUUGGUUCCGCCCAAGCCAGGAAAGCCUUUGUUCUUGUAUCUGACAGUCCUGGAAAAUUCUUUCGGCUGUGUCUUGGGACAACACAAUGCAACCGAAAAGAGAGAACAAUCCAUAUAUUAUCCGAUCAAGAAGUUCACCAGUUAUGAAGUCAAGAAUACUCUAUUGGAACGAACCUGUUGCGCCCUAACUUGGAUCGCCCAAAAGCUGAGACAUUAUUUGCUGGCUUACACAACAUAUCUCAUAACCAGAAUGGAUCCUUUGAAGUAUAUAUUCCAGAAUCCAAUGCCCACUAGAGGUUAGCAAAUGGCAGAUCUUGUUCACCGAGUUUGAUAUUGUCUAUGUUACUCAUACGGCGAUGAAAGCUCAAGCCUUGGCAGAUCAUCUAACUGAGAACCCGCUCGAUGAUGAAUACCAACUCUUAAGCACUUACUUUCUGGACAAGGAAGUAAACUCGGUUGAAGUGAUCCUAGAGAACAUAAAUUUUAAUUUUCUUUGAUGGGGAUGUAAAUACAAAAGGCGUGAAUUGGGGCAAUUCUGAUCUCGCCCAUAGGUCAACACUAUCCGGCCACAACCCGACUCAGGUUCUUUUGUACAAACAACAUUGCUGCGUAUGAAGCCUACAUAAUGGGUAUGAAUAUGGCGGUUGAUCUGGAUGUACAAGAGUUACUAAUCAUGGUGGAUUCUGAUUUAUUUAUCCAACAAGCCCAAGGCGAGUGGGAAAGUUGGAAUAUCAAAUUCUUCCCGUAUAGGAAACAUGUGGAAGAUCUCAGUAAACGAUUUAAGUGCGUCGAUUUCAAGUAUAUUCCCUGAUUCCACAAUAAGUUAGAGAUACACUAGCUACUUUGGCCUCAAUGCUUCCAUACCCGGGUAAUGCUCAUAUUGACCCAUUGGAAAUUCAGGUUCGAGAAAGGCACGAUUAUUGUAACGCAAUUGAAAUGAAGCCAUAUGGUGAGCCAUGGUAUCAUAAUAUCAAAAGGUUCUUGAAAACAAAAGAAUAUUUCGAGCAGGACAGUAGGGAUCAAAAGAGAACCAUCAGAAGGCUUGUAAGCAUUUUCUUUUUGAGUGGGGAGAUCCUGUAUAAAAGAACUCUAGACCUAAAUCUAUUUAGUUGUGUAGAUUCUCGAGAAGUUGAAAAGAUCAUGAACGAAGUGCAUUCAGGAGUAUGUGGGCCUGAACGGGUAUGUACUUGCUAAGAAAAUACUCCGAGCAGGUUAUUAUUGGAUGACCAUGGCAAAAGAUUAUUUCAGUUUCAUCGGGAAAUGUCAUUAGUGUCAGAUACACAGUGACCUGAUUAAUUCACCGUCUUUGGAUCUGCAUCCUAUGUCAGCACUUUGGCCGUUCGUUGCAUGGGGCAUAGAUGUUAUUGGGCUAAUCGAGUCAAAAGCUUCAAAUGGGUACAUAUUCAUCUUGGUUGCCAUUGAUUAUUUCACAAAGUGGGUCGAAGCAGUCACUUUCAAAGUCGUCACUAAGAAAGAAGUGGUAGACUUCGUGCAUUCCAACAUUAUUUUUCGUUUUGGUAUUCCUAAAACUAUCAUUACGGACAAUACUGCAAAUCUGAACAGCCACUUGAUGAGGGAGGUAUGCGAACAAUUUAAAAUUACGCAUUGUAAUUCUACCCCUUCUCGGCCCAAAGCUAACGGCACCGUUGAAGCUGCAAACAAGAACAUUAAAAAGAUUGCCAAGAAAAUGGUUCAGGGUUCCAGACAGUGGCAUGAAAUGUUCCCUUUUGCACUAUUGGGAUAUCACACAACUAUGUGCACAUCAGUUGGGGCCACCCCCUACUUAUUGGUUUAUGGCACUGAAGCCUUAAUACCUACGAAAGUCAAGAUUCUCUCUCUUCGGGUAAUUAUUGAAGCCGAGAUCGAAGAUGAUGCAUGAGUCAAAACCCAGUUGAAAAAAUUGACUUUGAUUAAUGAAAAGCGAUUGGCCGCAGUUUGCCACGGGCAGUUGUACCAACAAAGAAUGGUCCGUGCCUACAACAAGAAAGUGCGGCCUAGGAAAUUUGAAGUGGGACAACUCGUUCUAAGACGUAUUCUCCCACAUCAUGAAGAAGCUAAAGGAAAAUUUGCUCCAAACUGAAAAGUCCAUACAUUGUAACAAGAGUGCUGCCAAGGGAGCGCUGUAUUUGGGAGACAUAGAAGGAAAUAUUCCCGAGACCGAUGUCAAUGAAGAUACGGACAAAAGGCAUCAUGUUUGACCCUUUAUGCAGUGUUAAUAUUCUCUGAUUGGGAUGACAAAGUCUUUCUUUCUCGUUACCAAAAUACCAUCAACCCUUUGCAAACCCUUAGAGCAGAUUCCCUUUCUUUGAUUACCCUCUUUGGAACCUAAAAGUUAUUAUUGAAAAAAAAAAUCAAAAGAGUUCAUGUUAAUUGAACUACGUUCGACCUGAUUCUGAAAGGAUACGUAAGCAGCCUCACUUUGGGGUUCGGUCAUACCAAAAUAAAAAUCCAUAUUUCCCCAAAAUUGAAAACUGUGGCAGAUAUUACAAUGGUUCGGCGUUGCUUUCGCCUAAAAGGUUCCAAAGUUGUAAUUCAAUCCAAAUUCUUUUUACCCAAAUCCUUUCAAGUCCUUCCGAUCAAUCAACGAGAAUGUUCAAAAAUUGGAGGAUACAAUUACUUGGAUUUGAUGCAACCAAAUGAGAGAAAAAAGAUGAGAGAGUCUUGUUGGUGAAAACUCUCACGGGCAUUGAAAGGCGAUAGUGAGUAGAAAAAUUAAAAAUGAGAGAGUCUUGUUAAUGAAAAUCCUCAAAGGGCAAUAUAGGAUGAUGGUGAGAAGAUAAAUGAGAGAGGUCAGCUGGUGAAACCCCAUAAAGGGCACUACUAAUCAAAAAGAGGUUCCUCACACCCCUGGCAUCAACACAGUCCUAGGCAAGGUUCCUCGGUUUCUAAGUAAAAAUUGGGAUGAAGGGUCAGACUCAUUCUCCAUUCCAUUAUUUGUUAUUCUUUGAAUCUCGUUUGGUCUAACUUUGUUCCAAAAACUAAGGCAAAGAAGAGAUGGCAAGACUGAUUUACCGGGUUCUUGUUCAACACAAGCUGAUAUAUUCCAAAGGAACCCAGCCUCGACAAAGCAUCAAGUCGACCCCGAUUGGCCAUGAUGGACUAGGAAGAAGGAAAUCAAAUUGAAAUGCCUACAAGGGUAAAAUGAAGUUGAAAAGGUUAAGUCCAACGCGACUAACCAUUUGGCAAAAUUUGAAAAGUCAGAUGUUCCCCAAUGCCCUGAAAUUGGAACUUUGAAGAAAGAAGUCAAAGGUUAAAUGCCAACAAAGGCAAAAUAAAGUUGGAAAGGUUAAGUCCUGCUAUGUGACUAGCCGUCCUGGAAAAAGUUUGAAAAGCCAAAGGUUCUCCGGGGGUCAGAAAUGCAAUCGAUAUUCAGGAAACAACUAGUUGCAGUUGAAAUUAUCAUCAAAGAGGCAUGACUUCUCUCUUGGCACACUUUUAUCCAAGGUAGGCUAACUUGCACCAGUGAUGGCAUGAUGGUGGAAACAACCGGCAAUGGCGAGCUCAAUUGUAACUCCGGCGAGCACAGGACAACCAUCGUUCACUCCAUUAAUGUUUGAUAGCUUUCUUCCAACUCAAUUCCAACCAAUUCGAGAGGAAACUGAAAGUGAUUCUGAGAAGGAAUGUAAUAGUGAGAACCAAUGGAUAGUGCAGAUUUAGAUACGGAGAAGGAAAUUCAAAUCGGAAAGAGUCAAUACCAACAAUUCCUCGAAGAUUACAGUUCUCAGAGGCAAGAUCUUCUGUGCAACCUUCCCCAACCUUAGAGCAACAUGCACCAACACCCAAUGGAGAAAACUUGCUAAAUCAACAUGCAAAAGAGCUACGAUAACAAAAUCGCAAUACUCAGAUGGGUAUGCGAUUGGACUAUGUGCCUCCUAGUCAUCGAGAUGGUAAGAUUGUAGUCUAAAUUAUAAAGGAAGAUGUUCAAAAACUAAAUGAUUACUGGGCUACUGCCUUAAUUGGCUAUGUCCUAAGUGAUACUCCAUAUGAGAAAUCUAUGAAGGCGUUUAUUACAUCAGUUUGGGAUUUUGUCUCGAAACCACAAUACUGUAUCACAAUGAUGGAUACUAUCUGUUUAGAUUAUCAACAAUUGAGGACAAAGGUCUAGUGAUGCAAGCACGUCCAUACUCGUACCAUAAUAAGCUAUUUAUUUUAUAAAACUGGGAAAGAGACUUACAUUUUGAUCCUAAAUGCAUUACCACCAUUUCUCUGUGGGUGAAUUUCCCAAGCUUGCCUGUUGGGUAUUGGACUACAGAUGCACUUAGCAAAGUGGCUAUUGCCAUUGGAGCUCCUAUGUAUACUGAUAAAUACACAACUGAUCUCAACAAAAUUUCAUAUGCCAGGGUCUUAGUUAAGGUUUAUAUCACUAAAUCAAUACUAGAGAACAUAGAAAUUGAUACUCCAUCAGGAACUAUUCAGAAACAAAUUGUGUAUGAGUAGAAACCAAAGUUCUGCAGUGACUGUAAUCAUUUUGGCCAUGAUAACUUUGAAUGCUGGAGGAACAAAUAGCAAGACAAUCAGGAGGCAGAAUUUAAAGUUCCUAAAAGAAGGAACAAAGCAAGAAAGAAGAAGAUAGUUCAGGAGUGGAAACCAAAGGAAUAGGUAAACAAAGAUGAUGAAGCAGAUGGGAAAAGAAAGGGAAAUCAGCAAGUAGAAGUUGGUAAUGACAAACAAAAAGCAGUUGAUAUAGACUCUCCAACACAAAUGCUCAGAAGGGAUGAUGAAUGCAGAAUUCAACAUAGACAAAGUGUUGAACUAGAAAAGCAGUCUCGAAAUGAAGAGGGCAUCAAUACAAAUAGAUUCAAGGUUUUGGAAGAGUGUAUGCCAAGCACUUCUCAAGAAAGCUGAGUUUGGCAUUGAUCCUGCACUAAAACCCCCAUGAUUGUGUGCACUUGGAAUAUUAGGGGGCUGAACAAGCCCUAUAAACAGAAGGAGUUGAGUCUCUUUCUGCAAAAGAAUAAAUAGAUAUCCUUGGUUGUCUAGAAACUAGAGUAAAGGAAGGAAAGGCAAAAAAAUAUGUUGAACAGGGUUGCUAGAGAUUGGGGUUAUUGAUGUAACUAUACCCAAGUUGUCAAUGGUAGGAUAUGGCUAAUAUGAAAAACACACCUAAUAGUCACGAUACUCAAAACCCAUGAGCAAUUCAUCCAUUGCUCAGUGGAGGAUCCAGUAACAAAUUUCCCGAUUAUGUUGACAGAAGUCUAUGCUAGGAAUAAAGUGCAGGAAAGGGAAGUUCUAUGGCAUGAAAUGCAGCUGUUAUAAAGUCAAAUUCAAAUACCAUGGCUCAUUAGUGGAGAUUUUAACAAUGUGUUAACCACUGAUGAUAGAAUAGGACAACCAGUUACAGUAGGGGAGGUGCAGAAUUUCAAGCAAUGUAUUAACAGCAUGCAACUAACUCCACUUAGGACAAAGAGAUGUUUUUUCACCUGGUAUAACAAGCAGCAUACAAAUAGUAGAGUAUACAGAAAAAUUGAUUGGCCAUUUGGAAACUUCAGUUGGACUCGGACAUAUGGUCACCUAGAAGUAGAUUUUAUGGACCCUGGAGUAUCUGAUCACUCCCCAAUUGUGAUCCUACUAUGGAAAAGAAAAAUCACUUAUCCCAAGCCAUUCAAACUAUAUAUGGUGACAAUGGAACAUCAAGAGUUCAAACCUAUAGUGAAUAGAGUAUGGCAGCAGCAGGAAAGAAAGGAUCCUAUGUCACUUAUAUGGCUGAAGCUCCAAAGAAUAAAAGAUGAGACAAAAGGGCUAAACAAGUCCAUGGCAGGCUAUGACCAAAAUUGACUCAAGCUAGGCAAAGUUUAGAAUGUGUCCAAGCAGCACUUGUAAUUGAUCCCUUUAAUCAAUUGUUGAUUGAGCAAGAGAAAUAGAAUAUUAGUGAAUUGGAGAAAUGGAGCAUAAUUGAAGAAAGAAUCUUGAGGCAGAAAUCUAGAGCAACAUGGAUUGACUAUGGAGACUCCAAUUCUAAAUAUUUCUAUGCACAACUGAAAAUAAGGGCCAGCAAAAAUGCUAUUACUUCUGUGUACAAUGAAAUGGGAAUGAAGAUCACUGAUCCAAAAGUUGUGGAAAAGAGUUCCUUGUCUUCUUUACAAAGCUAAUGGGGAAGGCAAGUGGACUGAUGCCAUGACCUAACACUAGUAUCAUAAAAGCAGGAAAUUACGUCAACAUGCAGCAUCAAUAGGAACUGAUCAUGGACAUAACACAUGAGGAGAUUGAUGAAGCUAUUAGGGACAUGCCAAAUGAUAAAGCCCCUGGAGUGGAUGGAUUCCCUAUAGAAUUCUUUACUAAGUAAUGGGGGACUGUGAAACAGGAUAUCUAUGAGGCCGUGACAUAUUUCUUUCACACAGGAAAGAUGAUGCCAGCAUGGAACUGUACUACUAUUACUUUGAUCCCUAAAAUUCUAACUCCAACUCAUGUGAAAGAUUAUAGGCCAAUAGCAUGUUGCACUACACUGUAUAAGAUUGUUGCCAAGAUACUGACCAAAAGAAUCAUGAGAGUGAUAGAGGUAAUUAUAGGGAAAUCUCAAUUAGCAUUCAUUGAAGGAAUGAGCAUCAUUGACAAUAUCCUAUUCAACCAUGAACUAUUCAAAGGGUAUAAUAGAAAUGGUAUAUCCCCCAGAUGUGUGAUGAAAGUGGAUAUUAGGAAGGCAUAUGAUUCCUUGGAUUGACAGUUCCUUAGAUUCAUGCUAGCUAACCUUGGCUUCCCUCAAAAAUUUAUCUACUGGGUUAUGGAAUGUGUUACUAUAGUGUCAUACUCAUUGGUGCUCAAUGGAGGCCUCACCAAACCAUUUCUGGCUAAGAGAGGGAUAAGGCAAGGAGACCCCAUGUCUCCUUACCUAUUUUUCAUUGCAAUGUAAUACCUACAAAAAGAGAUGAACCAGCUACCAAUGAUAAAGGAAUUCAAAUAUUACCCAAGAUGUAAAAAGUUGGGAGUGAAUCACAUUUGUUUUGCUGACGACUGACUUAUGUUUUGCAGGGCAGACAUAAAUUCAGUGACUAAAAUGUAGGAAACCUUUCAAAGGUUUUCUACUACAUCUGGCCUUCAGGAAAAUGCAGACAAAAGCUCAAUAUACAUUGCUGGUAUUCAUCAGGAUAUUAGAUACUCAUUGAAAGGAAUAACAGGGAUACAGAGGGAUCAAUACCUUUCAAAUACUUAGGAGUUCCCUUGUCUGCCAAGAAAUUGAACAUUCAACAAUGUCUACUAUUGAUGAAAAGAUCACAGAAAGAGUUAGUUGAUGGUCAGCAAAGAUGCUAUCAUAUUCAGGGAGAGUACAGCUCAUAAAGUCUGUGAUCUUUGGUAUGCAGACUUAUUGGGCUCAAAUAUUCAUACUGCCCAAGAAAAUUAUGAAACUGAUUGAGACUAUCUGUAGAACAUUCCUAUGGACUGGUACAAGUGUUACAUCUAGGAAAGUGCUGAUAGCAUGGGAUAAGGUAUGCCAACCAAAAACUAUUGGGGGUUUAAACAUUAUCAACAUGGAAUUAUGGAACAAAGCAACAAUCAUGAAGCAACUAUGGGCAUUGAUAAAGAAAAAGGAUACAUUAUGGAGCAAAUGGGCUCAUUGCUACUAUAUCAAGCAAAGAGAUGUUGACACUAUGGAUACACCUAAGACAGCUGCUUGGGUGGUCAGGAAGAUUAUAGAUGCAAAACAAGGUUUGAUGCAGAUAAACACAAUGCAAACCAGCCUUAGUGCAAAGCUAACAUCUAUGGAGAUCCAGGGUAGAUUUCAAAUACAUAAAGCAUACACUCAACUGCUACCCCAACUCCCAAAAAUAGGCUGGAAGAGUAUACACUUGCAUCCACAGAUCCAUCCAAGAUUCAAGUUCCAUUUAUGGCUGGUAGUUCGACAGAGGUUAGAUACUGUGGAUAGAUUGCAGAAGUUUUAAAUCCAAGUACCAUUGGAUUGUGCUUUUUGUGCUAGGUACAUAGAAACAUUUAGUCAUCUAUUCUUUGGGUGCUCGUGUACUAGCACAGUAUGGAAUAGAAUACUCAAAUGGUUGGGGCAUAACAAGAGAAUAGGAAGCUGGCAGAAUGAGAUCGAAUGGGUAAGCACUCUAACUAAGAGGAAAGCUGGAAUGACAACUAUUACUACUUCAGCUUUUUGCCAUGGCAGUAUACUACAUUUGGCGUGAAAGGAACUCCAUCAGAUUCAGCAAAGGGAGAUAUGAGGCUGAUGGGAUCUGUAGGAAAAUUGCAAUGCACAUGCAUAUACAGGGGAGAUCAAAUAGCAAAUGGCAGCCAACAUUGCAAAGAUUGAAUCAUUAUCCGUAGGCUAAAGAAGAAUGGCUCAAAUUCUGCUUUGAAGUGUAAUUAGUACAAUCUAAUUUGUAAUUGUAAUUAGGAGUUGAUGGUCAGCAUUAGCCUGACUUUGUAAAGACAAUUUUUGAUGAAAUGAAAAGUCUGUUUUAAUCAACAAAAAAAAAUCAUCAUCAAAGAAGAUGGGCCGAGAUCAAGUGACUGAAACACUAAAGGCUAUAAAACCAACCAUCGUUUCGAACUAACAAUUGUUAUUUGUUGAAAAAUAGGAAACAUCUGCAAUCCAAAGACAGCCUUGCAAGAAGCAGGUGCAAUAAAAAGGAAACCGCGCGGAGACUAAAAAUAGCCAUGCAACAACAAAAACUCUAAAAAAAGUAAGUCUUCUCAAAAUUCUUUCCCGCAUUUUACUCAUUCUCUUAAAAAAAUAAAAAAAAUAACCCAUUCAAAAUCAUGGUAGUAUAGGGUACACCAAUCCGUAGCUGCAUUUUCAAAAAAUUCCCUAGUGUUACACCCCAUGUGAGAGUAUGUCGUAAGCUAAUUAAUGUAAGCCCAGAAAUGAAUCAUCUUUGAAAGUAUAUAAAGUAAUUAAAUAAUAUUACCUUGGAGGUAACAAAUAUAUAAGAUCAUGGAUAACAAGUAUCAAGAGGGUUUGAAGGCUUAGAAGCUAAACAAAUUGAAGAAGAUAAGUUUCGUCGAGAGUCAACAAGUUGAAAAUGUUAUAAAUGUACUUUUAGGGUGAUACUAGGGUGAUUAACAUGACAAGGAGGUUAUUUUAUGAGUUAUUUUAGUCAUAUAAUAGCCGAGUAUUAUUUUUUGAAGUCAAUCAAGUUGUGGAAGAAAAUUUGGCAAAGGUCAUCACAAGUUAGAUUCAUAAAUAUGCUGAAAAUUAGGUCAAAUGUAGCGGAGCUUUUCUCUCAAUAUAUUUAGAAUUACGAGAUAGUUCAUCUACCAAAUUGAAUAUAUACGAGUCUAGUUUCUAACGCAAUAAACUGUUUGUUGAUAAGACAUUAGAGUAGAGAGAUAUUCGCAUUUUCGUGAGACUACUCAAGCAGCUCCCAAUGGGACCCACUUAGGUGGUGGUCGACCUACUUCACUUUAAAAACGAUUUGGACGACCUUUAUUUCUCAUUUUUCGACCCACCUCAUUUCUACACUCCUCCUAAUCCUCCAAAACAUAUACCAUAAGGGUUUGAAGUGAUUACACCAUAUUUCAACAUCAAAAAUUAGUUCUAGUGCAUAAUAACACCUCUUUGAGGUUGUGUUGUCAUUGAGGAUAAUUGUGGAUUGUGUUUGGAUGAAAUUUCAAGUUUUUGCUACGGGAUAAAGUGAGUAUAAUAACCUUCUAAUUAUUCUUAAGCUUGCUUGUAUGUUGGUUAAAUUUUUAGGAUGAUAAACUACAAGAUAAUACUUGGAUUAGCUUGAGAUGUUGUUGUUCUUGAUGGAUUGAUUUGAAAGUUGCUCUUAUGAACUUUAAGUGGCUGGAAAUUAUAGAAAAUAAGUUGGAUAUGAUAUUGUUAGUAUGAUUUUGUUGGUUUACAUGUCAAUCUUAUUGAGGAAAUUGGUAACUAGAAAAGGAAAUGGCUAUAAAGCACUUGGAAGUUGUCCGCAGUGAUAUUAUCUUGUGUUGGGCCAUUUCGGGUAUCUUUAAAAUUGAGUACAAGGACGAAAAUCCUUUAAAAGUUAUUGGUUAUUAUACUAGAUAUAUUACUAAUUUAAAAUAGGGUUGAAGGAUGUUAAAGGGAUUCAAUCCGAGCUUGUCGUGAUAUGUUGAUGACUUGUUAAUGAAAUAUUUUGUACCAUAUUAUUGAUGUUGUUAUUAUUGUAUUUCUAUGUUUGUUGUUAUUGGUAUAUAGUAUUGGAGGAGGACCUUGUUAUAGGGGAGAUGAUGCCUAAAUUUACAUAAACAAGCUACUAGUUUAAGUUGCGGACUUAGCCUUUACUCAACACUGAUUUUGAAUCACUUUAUGCUAUGGUAAAUUGAGUUGAGUUGUUUGAAGAAUUGCUUGGAAGGUAUUAAGGACUCAACGGAGUUAAGUUAUGUUAAGGCUAUCCCUUCUUUCCUUUUGGGCAUGAUCCAUAUGAUACAACAAAAUUAGCAAACACACAACUUUCACAAAUAACUCUAUUCUUAGAAGUACUAGGGUUGCAUAUGUUCUUGAUUCAGCAUAUGUCCUAUUAUCAUAUCAUCUGUUAAUGGGUCUCAAAAAAUAUGUAAGUUGAUAAAGUUUAGUUGUGAUAUUAAUUGAAGGCAUAUUGAUCUUAUGACCUUCCAAGAGAUCAUAUUGACUUACUUUAUUAGGCAUUGCAUUCACUUAUACAUGUAUAUUGACCCAUGACCAAAUGAAGUUAUAUACGUGUAUAUAAUAUAUGUAUAUGGGGUAUGAAAAAAGGUUAUGGCAUUAUAUAUGCACCGCCACCUGAUCAGCUAGCAUAUGUUGAUAAUUUUGCUUGCUGAGGCUGAGAUGAUAUGAUGGGAUUCCCUUAGAGGCUUGAUGAUGUUAUGUACGCAUAUACCUAUGCAUGAUAUGACAUUUAUACGCAUAUGCAUGACAUCAUAAAUGUUUCAUGAUUCACAGAGCUAUUCAGACUUACAGGUUGAUUCCUUAACUCUAUGUUUCUUUCAUGUCUUUUAUAUACUGAUUUUUAUGCCUUAUAUACUCAAUACAUUAUUCGUAUUGACGUCCCUUUUGCUGAGGACGCUGCAUUUCUUGCCUGCAGGCCCUGAUAGACAGCUGGGUAGACCUUCCCAGUAGACAGAGUCAAACAUCAGCUUGGUUAGUAAGCUCCACUUCUUCAGAGUUACCAGGCCUGGACCUUGGAGUCCAUUAUAUAUAUACAGGUUUGAUGGGUAGGUCGAGGCCCUGUCCCGACCAUGAUACAGUUCAGUUAUCUCUAAAGGCUUGUAGUAUUGUGACCUUGCUAGCCUUGUGUACAUGUUAGUUUGGUAUUGCUGGUUGUAGAAAUUCAUGGUGGCCUCAUCAUUCUUGAUUAGUAUUGUCAGCUUGCAGGUAGGCCUCGUCGGCCUAAGUUGAGGGUUACCCCUCUAGAGUUUACAGUUACAGAGUGGUACGCUCAGGCCAAAUAUGGAACCGGAUGUCGGCCAUGCCUCCCCAAGUUUGGGGACAACUAGUCUUCUUACUAGUAUAGGGUACACCAAUCCCUGAUUGUAUUUUUCCAACAUAAGGUACACUACUUCCUAGUUGAGUUGAGCUUAAACGCAGGGUACACCACUCCCUGAUAUCUUUAUUGAUAGAACUUAAAUGCAAGGUACACACUCCCUCAUAUCAUUCCUAGACAUAGGGUAUACCACUCCCUAGUUUCCUUACCAAUAUAGGGUACAACAAUCCCUAGCUGUGUUUUCCAGCAUAGGGUACAUCUCUCCGUAGUUGAUGAUAGUUUAGACAUAGGGUACACCAUCUCCUAGCCUCCUUACCAGUAUAGGGUACACCAAUCCCUAGCUGUAUUUUCCAGCUUAGACUACACCACUCCCUAAUUGAUGAUAUUUUAGACAUAGGUUACACCACUCCCUAGUCUCCUUACCAGUAUAGUGUACACCAAUCCCUACCCGUGUUUUCUAACAUAGGGUACACCACUCCCUAGUUGAUGAUGGUUGGACAUAGGGUACACCACUCCCUAGUAUUCAUACCAGUAUAGGGUACACCAAUCCUUAGUUAUGUCUUCCAAUGUAGGGUACACCACUCCCUAAUUGAUUGAGCUUAAAUGCAGGGUACACUACUCCCUAAUAUUAUUACCAAUUGAUCUUAAAUGCAGGGUACACCACAUCCUGAUAUCUUUAUUGAUAGAGCUGAAAUGCAGGGUACACUAUUCCCUAAUAUCAUUACCAAUUGAUCUAAAAUGUACACCACUCCUUGAUAUCUUUAUUGAUAGAGCUAAAAAAUAGGGUACACCAUUCCCUGAUAUCAUUCCUAAACAUAAGGUACACCACUCUCUAGUCUUCUUGCCAGUAUAGGGUAUAUUAGUCCCUAGCUAUAUUUUCCAAUGUAGGGUACACCACUUCAUAGUUGAUGAUAUUUUAAAUAUAGGGUACACCACCCCCUAGUAUCCUCACCAGUAUAGGGUACAUUGAUCCCUAUAUAUGUCUUCCAACAUUGGGUACAACUCUCCCUAGUUGAGUUGAGCUUAAACACAGGGUACGCCACUCCCUGAAAUCAUUACCAAUUGAUCUUAAAUGCAGGGUAAACCACUGCAUGAUAUCAUUACUAUUUGAUUAAGUUGAAAUGCAGGGUAUACCACUCCCUAAUAUCAUUCCAAAUAUAGGGUACACCGUUCCCUAGUUUUUACCAGUAUAGGGUACAUCAAUCCCUAGUUGUAUUGUCCAACAUAUGGUACACCACUCUCUAGUUGGUUUGAUCUUAAGUGCAGGGUACACCACUCCCUAAUAUCUUUGCCAAUAUAGGGUAUAUCAUUCUCCGACCAUAUUUUUCCAACAUAAAGUACAACAAUCCUUAGUUGAAACUUCAUUUUAAUAAUAAAGGAACACCAUCCCAAUAAAUAAAAGAAAUCACGAUCUUUUCAGGGUACACCAUUCCCGAAACUUCACUGUUUUUUUUUUUGAAAAAAAGAAGUAGUUUAGAAUUUUUGUUACAAUAACUCAUGAAGUUAUCCUAGUGAAAACUAGGGCAGAAAUAUUUCGUUCAUUUGUUUGGUUCUGGGGCCUGUGCAGGUUUUUACCUUGAGACACAAGGUUCGAGAUGACUAAAAAAAGAUUACUCAAUACAGAAUAAAGAAAAUAAAAAGUAGUGAAUCCAAAAUGCAGGAGCAGAUGAAAAAGAUGAGGACUACUCAAGGCAUGACUGAAGUCACGAGCAUUGUAGUUUCCCUUUAGAUAAGAAGAAGCCGUAGAAGAAUGAACUAGCACCUGCAGCUAGCAAGCAUCAAGGUUCAGAUCAGAGUAUGCAUGAAGAACCAAUCAAGACUCAAGAUCAAGUUUCAGAAGACUUACAGAUAGGAAUCUUGUAACUCAUAGCUGAUAGGAUUAUUUAGUUUCUUUUGAUUUUGAUUUUGGUGUAAUAAGGAGUUCAGCAAGCAGUAAUAGCAGCGACAACAAUGAAAUCACAGCUUUUCGGUAGUCCCAGCUACCAGAACUACACUGACCUAGUUCCUUUAUAGCCAAAGAUAUGUAGGAAACCUCGGAAGUAAGGUUCGGUCAAACUCUUUCAAAAAUGCUUCCCAUGGAGUAUUAAAUGGGCAACAAUUAUUCAUAAUUGCUCACUUUAUCUUUGCCCAAAAAUUCUUCAUAUCUCAAGCAAAGAGGAGCAGAUGUGAGCACGCAAUUUUUGCCCGAUGACAAAUUUGCUCCUUAAAUAUUCUGAAUAGCUUUUAAUUACUUUAUAGAAUUUUAGGAAUUUUCUUCUAUUUUUAUUUAAUUUGUAUCCCAUUUAUUUGCAUUUUCUUAGGCAUAAUUAGUAAUACCUUAAAUCAAAAUGUCAAAAUUAUUUUAGUUUUCAUUUUCGUUUCGCUGCAUCUUAGCACUUAAUUGCAUAUAGCCGCAUUUCAAAAAAAAAACACAUAAAAACAAUGCAUUAAUUAUUUUCAUAUCUCUGCACUUUUUAUUUUGAUUAUUUAGUUUAACCCUUUGGUUCACAAUGUUAUAUCAAGUAAUUUGUUUUAGUAGGCUAGUUGUGCAAUGUGAGUCUUGAUUAGGAUAAGUUAAUGUUGAAAAUUAAAAGAAAGGAAAGAAAGAGGCUAUUUGGUCUUGUAUUGAAAUUGGGCCAAACAUUCAAAGACAGCCCAAUUGCGUCUCGGAUCCGUCCAAGCCCCACAACCUAGCGGUCCAACCCCAAUACUAAACCCAAACGACCUCGUUUUGGACUCCAGUUGAUCUCCACCGUUCAUCAGCCUAGAUCCAACGGCUCGCAACUGAUCACUCAAAUCAUAUAUUACUGUUUGAAAUGCCCCCCAAUCCCCCCAAAGACCUCACAGACCGUCUCUCUCACCCUCCAUCGUCUUUGCCGCCGGAAAUUGCCCCACGACGGCGGGCAGACCCCAAACGACCCCACAAUCCCCACCUCCUUCUCAUUACAUAUCGCUUUGUUAUUUCCUUAAAAACCCUCCAGAAUCUCUCAAUUACUGGAUCUAAGAAAUUCUAAAAACCUAAAUCCACCCCUUUUUAUUUUUUCUCAAAUCCUGGCGUGUUUGGGCUUAAAACCAACACCAAUCGACUUCUCUCAUUGAGUUUUACAAAUUGGCAUUAUUUUGUCUCGUUUCAAGAUCGCCGGCUACCGGUCAACUCACUAUUGACAGGCCAGAAUUUCUGAAAUUCCUCUGUGGUUGAUCUUUUUGGUUGAAUUAUGGCUAACAUCAUCGCAUACAUCAUUAGUUACGCCCUCAAGCGUAAGCCAGUGCUCGUGUGGCGAUGUCGGCUAUCGUCCAGAAUUCUUUUCUCUUCAGCCAACAGUGCUUCACAUAGUAAUCAUCUACUUCUUUUCUUCCUUCCUUGAAGUUGCUAAUUCUAUGUCUUAGUUAUUAAUUAUUAGUUCAUUUUCAAUUUUGGUUUGACAACAUACAUAGGUUAAUUAUUAAUCACUAAUAAAUUUAUUUUAACUUUGUAAGUAGUUAUUUGCUUAAUCUGAAGUUUAGAUAGUUUUGGUCUUAAAUGGCAUAUCUGUUUAAUCAAUACGUUAAUUAGCUUGUGAUUCCUGAUGAGUUAUGUUUGUUAGGCUUUGUUAGUUUAAGUUUAGUUAAUUCUUUAUUUAAUGCUGUUAAGAGAAGGAAGGCAGUAAUUUUGGUUAGAAGAUAGUAAGUGUUGAGGUUAAAGGAAAAGGUUAAAAGAAGGGUUAUUAACUAAAACUUGAUGGGUCUAAAAGAAAUAGAAAACUUGGAGAAUCUUGGGUGUAACUGACUUGGAAUCUUCUAGAAUAGGGCAGUAAGGGUUGGAAAGCAAUAAAACAGUAAAAAUUAGGUCAAAAAUGGACUUAAGGGUUAAAAUACAAAAAGUAAAAGGGGCUGCAAAGAAAGAGAGAUAACAUAAUACAACUGUGGGAAUAUUCUAUAUAACAGACUCUCUGACAUUCUGCAGCCUCACGCAAUUCACUCCCUAUUUUUUUCGUUUUACUCUCAUGCUCAUCUGCAGACAUCUUUCACCAAUUUCUCUCAUAUUCACUCUCCCUUCACUUAUUCAUACAAAAUUCACUCAUUCACCUCAUCAUACUCAGAAACGCACACUCGUUUACAUACACUUAGAGACCUCUAAAAACAGAUUUGAAAAAUACAAAAGCAGUGAAGUUUUAGGUCGAUUUAUAUACUCAAAAACAUUUGGUUUGUGUUUGUUGAUUAGAAGAGAUCUCCUACAUGUGUAUCCUGGGUUUCAAGCUGUUUAAUUAGUAAUUGAAGUUGUCUUCUACUGUUUCUCUGUCAAUUAGUAGCCGAGCUUCAGUUUGUAGCUGCUCUCUGCCUUUAUUUGGCUAUUUUAAUAUGUAUUUGCUGAUGUCGAUUGCUGAAACUUUGCUGAUCUCUGUUCAAGUUUGUUUUUGGCCUUUGUUUGGUCUUUUCCUAGUGCUCUAUAGCCCUGAAUUGGUAAGUCCAAACACUCAUGAAUUCAUGUCUUCCCUUGAAUGAAAAGCUUUUGAUUUUUAUGAAAUUUUGGAUUGAUCUAUUGAAUUCUCAUGUGAGCAUAACAACACGAACUGAUUUGCAUUCAUUGUUUGCUAUAUAACGUGAGAAAUAGACAUAAAAGUAGAUUGUGAAACUAUGCUCUGUUAAUCUCUGUACUGAUUCUCUUAUCUCAUAAUUUGAUUAAACAUGAAUUCUAGACUCGACACAUUUAUUAUAUUUCGUUCUAGUGAUUUUCUGUAGUAAUUCAUAACGAGAAAAGACCACUGUUGCAGCAGAUAUGGCGGUCGUUCAUGGAUUUGGCCAUUAAUUGGUCAAAUUUGUAAACCUCAAAGUCAAAAUAUUUUUUCAGAAGUGUUUGGAGCCAUUGUAUUUCUCAAAUAGAAGUAUAAAUUUUCAUGUUGGGACUAUAAUAUGAUUUUUGGGCAUGAGUAUAUUAUAUUAUGUAACAUAGUUAAAGUAGAUGUUGAAAUCUGCUCAAUUCAGGACGUGAGCACAAGCAUAAAUGUAAGGAUAAUUAUUGUAGUUGAUUUUUAUUAUGUUUGGAACUAGCGUUAAAUUCUUUCAAUUUAGAAUAACAGCUGUUUAAAACCAGUUGCUAUAACUGUAAUAAGAGUAAUGUUUCAACUCUAUUAGGGCUAUGGGCCUGAGGUUAAGAGAUCUGGAGCCCAAUAUGGGUUGUGACAAUUCACUGGUGUAAAGGGACUGGGUGGGCCUGCCACUAUUCAGGCGCAAGCCUAAGGUCACAUGGGACGGAGGCUUCAUUAAAGCCUACUUCAUUAUUUAUCCUAGCACACCAAUACUAGUAAUUUUAAAUACUGUAACUUUGCUAUUAUGUGUUUUCCUUUGGAUUUGAACACACUUGCUUGAAAUUAUCUCAUCGUCUGCCAUCCUACAUGCCAAAUUCAUAAAGCUGAGCACUGUUGUCUCAUGACCUCUAAUACGUUUGCCAACAGAUUCUCGCACACACGAGACAUUUGAAAUUACUUAGUUAUUCAACUUACAGUUUCUUUUACAAAGCAUGGUCCCAUAAUCUUUUGACCUUGCACAAUAAUCCCAAAUUAAUGUAGAACAAUUAACUCAUGAACAUUCGUAGGAUGCUUUAGGCGCGUUUAAUCUAUUAUUGUGAUUGUGUACACAUUCGCGUGACAUAGUUAUAAUUUUCAAAAUAAAUCAAGGUACGCAUUCGCGCGACUUUGACCAAACAAUCUUAACAAAUAAAUAAAGUGUUAUUAAUUGUGUACACGUACGCGUGAAAUAAUUUUUAGCGCAUUAAAUAAAGACGGAUUCAUACACAUGUGAUUUGUUUUAAGAUAAUUUCAUAACGCUAUAAUUAAAAACGGUAAAAAGUAAAACACAUAUAGGUUCUAAAAUACGUAAUUAAUAAUUAAUUAAACCAAGUUAUGAUUAUAAAGCGACUGCGCUAAAAUCGCAAAAUUCGGGAAUGUCUAACACCUUCUCCCGGGUUAACAAAAUUUCUUACUCGGUCUUCUGUGUUUUGUAGACUUUAAACAGAGUCAAAUUUCCUUGAUGUGGAAUUUUAAAAUAAAUUGGUGACUUGGGACACUAUAAUAAAUUAUUCCAAAUGGCGACUCUUAAAAAUAAAAUAAAUCAAUCCCAUUUCAAAUAAUGUCACUUAAAUUGGAAAAUUUUCUUUCCCCGUAAAAAGGAGCUAUGACAGCCAUUGCCAAAUCUGUUCGCCUACUUCCUCUUCGCUUUAGAAAGUCCACAAUCGCCACUAAAAAUGGCUGCUACGAUGGUUGCCUUGAUGGAAAAGGAAGAGACAUUUGAGGGAGAAGAGAGAGGAUUGAGAAUUUUGCUGAUAGAGAGAGAAGGAAGAGACAGCAAGAAUAUAACUGGCGUAUUUCAUGCCUCAGUGGUGAGAUAUAAAAUAAAUACCUAUUUUGCUAUAAAAUAGAAAAUGUAGCUAUAAGUAAUAAUAUUUUUAAAAUUAUUUUGGUUAAUAAUAAACAGGGUGUAAUAGUUUUUCAUAGGAGAUAAAAUUUCCUACUAAUAACAGUUGGAAAUAAUAAGUAAGUAUAGAUCUGUCUGUAGACAACAAAUUGCGUCGAGAAAAUAAAAUCAAGACCGAAAAUAUUGCAACAAUCAUAGUAUUUUAUUUUGAAUAUUUGAGUGUUACAAUCUCUAUGGAUCCUCUGAUUCUUCUUUCCAAUUGUAAAUAAAUUCAAGAGCCUUUGAGCUUGAUCUUGAAUCUAUGUUUGUUGCCACGAACGAUGUUCUUGAAUUCAACUAGCACGAACUUUGAUUUGAACUCGCACUCCUUGAACCUUGAUUUGUUCUUCGUUCUUGAGCUUGAACUUGGUUUGUUCUUCGUUCUUGAGCUUGGACUUGAUUUGUUCUUCGUUCUUGAGCUUGGACUUGAUUUGUUGAACUUGAACUUGAUUGCUUGAAGCUCGAAACUUGGAGGAAUUUGCGGUGUUUGAUCCACGAGCUCUCUCUUGCUUCUUGUUAUAACUUCUGGUGUCUUUUCUGGGUUAUGAAGACCCCUAUUUAUAGUUGUGGAAGGGAAGAGUCAUGAUAAGAACAAAUUCUUUCCGACCAAUCAAAUUGAAGUGUGACAUGGCCGCAUUUGAUUGGCCAGAACAUGUCACUUGCACACGUGGCGCGAUUUCAUUGGCCUUUUAGUGUGACUUGGCAUGCCUUGUCAUUUUGACACGUGGCAUGAUCCUAUUGGAUCUUCCGUUUGACUUAGCGCGUCAUGUCAUUUGACACGUGACACUAAACUGGACCUCUAGAAAGAUGUCAUCUUUGGCUUAAUGAAGUGGGUUCAUUACUUUAGCCCAAUUAAAUGGGCUAGCUCAAUGAAUUAAGAUUUAUUUAUUUAAUCCAUAUAUAUUGGACUUAUAUAAUUAAUUUAAUUAUAUUAGCUGGACUAAUAUAUUUAAAAUGGCCCAAAUUAUUUUAUUGAAUUUAUAUUCAAUAAAAUUUACAUGCCUACAAAUGCCCCUACUUCAAGACUUGUCAAGAUGUAAACUUUAAAUACUAGGCUUAGAAGUAUCUACAAAGGUAAUUGGUAUUUCAAGGAUUCAUUUACGGACGCCUUCAUCAAAUUUUAGCUAGAAAUUCCUCAAAGAAUUGACUUAUAUUGUUUCGUUAAAGGACACGCUUACUACUGGACCAAUUACCUUAUUAAGUUUACUGCUUUUGAAGUAGCACCUUGAAAUUUGAACUAUCUCAAAGUAAUUACUCAUUUAAUCACCAUGAGGUCAGUGAGUCUGCAUCCCUUUUUUUCCACAUGAGAUUCCUUUUCAAUUAGCAUUCCAUGUUAUAUGAUGAAAUCAGAAAAUAUUAGGAGACCUUCUGACACAGUACGCCAAAUGCUGUGUAUGAGAAAGACAUGUUCUUUUCCUCUCCGUCUCUAAUUAGGACACCAUCACCGACGUUGCUCAAUCAUCUUAGGAGACAACCAAGCAUGCUUGAUAUCCUUUCCUUAUUAGAAAUUGUUACUACCGUAUUACAAUUGAUCCCACAUCGGAGGAAGAUUUUUGACGCGACCUUUCAUAAUCUAUAAACCAUACGUCCUUAUUACAUUAGUACCAAUUUCAGUACCAAUUUUAGUGUUUGCAAAUUGCUUUGAAUCUACUUUUGACGACUUGAAGGCAUUGAUGCGAAGGUAAUUUCUUCUUCUUUUCUUGUGCUGUCUUCUUUUGUCAUUUUUUUUUGUAGGUCAAACAAGAAGGGUCGUCAAGUACUAAGUCGACGAGCAACUCCAUGACGUCCCAUCGAAGGAUAAAUCCGCAACAACUUAUAGACGGUUAAAUCCACAACAAUUUGUAGACGGGCGAAUCUUGCAACAACUCAUAGACAAAUCAAUUUGCAAUAACUUAUAGACGGAUAAAUCCAUAACAACUUAUAGAUGGAUAAAUCUCCAUCAUCAUAUAGACGGACAAAUCCACAUCAACAUAUAUGGACAAAUCCACAUCAACAUAUAGACGGACAAAUUCACAUCAACAUAUAGACGGAAAAAUCCACAUCAACGUAUAGACGGACAAAUUUCCAUCACCAUAUAGAUGGACAAAUUCACAUCAACAUAUAGACGAACCAAUCCACAUAAAUAUUUAUGGACGGACAAAUCCACAUCAACAUAUAGACGGACAUAUCCACCUCAAUAUAUAGACGGACAAAUCCGCAUCAACAUAUAGAUGGACAAAUCCGCAUCAACAUAUAGAUGGACAAAUCUGCAUCAACAUAUAGACGGACAAACCCACAUCACCAUAUAGACGGAUAAAUCCUCAUCACCAUAUAGAUGGACAAAUCCGUGAAGAGACCAAGGUGCAAAGGGGCUUAUAUGUCCACCUUAAGAUUGGAAAGUUAUAAAGCUUCAACUCGAAGACUUCAUGGACUUAACGACGUCGACUUGAACACUUGGAAAACUUUGAAGAUUUAGCGGACUUUGCAGACUUCAACUUGAAGACUACCAAACUUGAAGAUUCGGCGGACUUUGAUGUUUCAAUCUGAAAAAUUUGAGGGCUCAAAUACUUCCACUUGAAGACCAACGAGUUUGAAGACCUCAACUUGAAGACUUCAACUUGGAGACCUGGAGGGCUUAGAUAUCUCAACUUGAAGGGUGGCGAACGUGAAGACUUUAACUUAAAGACCGACGGACUUGAAGAUUUCAACUUGGAGACUUCGAGGGCUUAAACAACUCAACUUGAAUUCUGGUGAACUUAAGGACUUCAACUUGAAGGCCGAUGGACUUGGAGGGCUUGAAUACUUCAACUUAAAGACUGCGGAUUUGCAGACUUCAACUUGAAGACAAAAAUUUUGAAGGUUUGGCAAAUUUGAAGGCAUGACGAAUCACCAGGCUUCAUUGCAAAUACUUGGUAGCCUCCUAAAAGACUAUAAUUAUUCCAUUGAAGACACCAAUUUACCAUGGAAGCUUGCCCCUUUUAAAUCAAAUGAGAUCAAUGUUUAACAGGAGGAUGGCGUUUCAGCUUGAUUUUACAUUUCUCCAUACUUCACUUGGACAACAAUUGGGGCAAUAUGUAUCUUUUGAACUUAUGCGACUGAACUUAGAAUGAAACUCUAAGCUGCCUACGUACCUCGGUGAAGAGGAUCAAGUCAUAUCGUAGUUCAGACUGGGUGAUUUUUUUUAUGUCCUAACUUUUGCCUAGGCCGCCUCUUUCGAAGUUUUCAACCUAGUGGAUUCUUUUUUUUUGUAGGGGCCAUACACAGUUUAGACUCAUGCAGUCCAGGAGUGUAGCAAUAUACAGUUUAGGUUCAUGCGUCAAAGAGCGUCAUGACUUGCAGUUUAGGCUCGUACGUCGAGGAGCGUCGCAAUUUCAAGGAUAAUACUUCUUUAAGAAUUUGCCAUAGAUAUGGCGAUUCUCAUACCAUCUGCAUCAACCAACUUGUAAGUCCCACUUGAGUAAGCUUCUUGUACGAUGUAUAGCCCAUCCCAUUUUGAAGUGAACUUCCUUACAGGUUUAUGGGAAGUAAUUAUGGGUCUUCGUACGGUAAGGACUUGAUCUCCUACUUGAAAGGAUCUCGGGCGAACUCUUUUAUUGAAGGCGCGAGAUAAUCGAGCUUGAUAACAUUCAAGACUCUGUUGAGCUUCCAACCUCUUCUUAUCAAGAGCCUCCAACUCUGCUAACCGAAGUCGAGCAUUUUCUUCAUCAGUGAUCCCUUCUUGAAUAGCUAGUCGUAACGAAGGUAUUUGACGCUCAAGUGGCAAGACGACUUUGACUCCAUAAAUGAGUAAAUAAGGAGUCGCCUGUGUUGGAGUACGGUGAGUCGCCCUAUAUGCCCAUAGAGCUUCUUUCAUACGGUCAUUCCAAUCUCGUUUGGAUUUGGAGACGACUUUCUUUAACAAGUUGCAUAGAGUCUUGUUGAAUGCCUCAGCUAGACCAUUGGCGACAGCAUUGUACAUCGAAGAGUUACGUUGCUUGAAGCCAACGAGAUCACAAAUCUUGUUCAUCAACCUAUUAUGGCUUUCCAUUAUCCGUUAUUAUGUAACGAGGAAUGCCAAAGCGAUAAAUAAUGUUUACUCGGAUGAAACUUGCAACAUUUUCCUUCUUUACUUCCUUAAGAGCAACAACUUCAACCCAUUUUGAGAAGUAGUCAGUUGUAGCCAAGAUGUAUAGGUGCCCACCAGAGGACUUUGGCAGUGGUCCAACAACAUCCAAUCCCCAAGCGUCAAAUGGCCAGGAUGCAACAGUCGGGUGCAACACUUCAGGAGGUUGAUGAAUAAAAUUCGCAUGGAAUUGACAAGCCUUUCAUCUUCGAGCAUAAUCCUAAUCUUUUACCAUCGUUGGCCAAUAGUAUCCCAUCCUUUUUAUAUGGAAAUGAAGCUUUUGGUCCAGACUGGUGUGACCCACAUACCCCAGAAUGCGCUUCUUGUAAAGCUUGGAGUACUUUAUCUUCCCCUAAGCAUCAUAAUAGUACUCCCUCGAAUGAUCUUCUGUAUAGAGUAUCUUUGUAGUAAAGGAAGUGAGGUGCACGACGACGGAUUUCAGUCCUUCUUCGCUGAUUUUCUAGAAGCAUACCAUAGCACAAGUAGUCGAUAAUGGGUUGCCACCAUUCUUCUUUAUCAACUUCAGAAACAGCGACGAGAUGCUUGAGUUCGUUUUCUUCACCUUCAGCCUCAUUUGGCAGCGGUGCUAUCCAUUUUUGGCAGAUAGUAACUUGCACUUGAUCAAGCAGGAUUAACGAUGAAGCUAGGGCAGCUAAAGUAUCCACCUUCUUAUUUUCUUUCCUUGGCACAUGUUGAAUAGUCACAUCACCGAGCCACCCCAUUAAUUUUUUAGCGUAAUCAUGAUAUGGGCAUAGUUCAGGUUUCUUGAUCUCGAAACUACCUAAAAGCUGAUUGACCACUAACUGAGAGUCACCAAAGACUUGCAAUUGCAACCGCUUCAUUUCGACAGCCAUUUCGAGCCCAUGUAUUAGUGCUUGAUACUCAGCAAUGUUGUUAGAGAAAAGUUGCGUCAACGUAAAAGAGUAGGGUAGAACUUCACCUUGAGAAGUGACAAAUACUACACCAGUACCAGCUCCUCCGCGAUGUACAGCACCGUCAAAGUAUAUCUUCCAUAGAGGUUGAACUUCGAUGACCAUGGCGUCCUCAUCAAGUAGUUUGUCAGUUAGCUCCCAAUCAUCAGGUAUAGGAUGAUCUGCCAAGAAGUCCUCUAAUGCUUGUCUUUUUAUAACCUUUUGAGGAAUGUAUACGAUUUCAAAUUGUUGAAACUGGAGGUACCAUCUUGCUAGUCGAUACUAAGGACAGGUUUUGACAUCACGAACUUGAUGGGAUUUGCUCUAGAAACCAAACGAACGAGCUUGAAAGUAGUGCUUCAACUUAUGGAUUGAGAAGACUAGCGCCAAACAUAACUUUUCAAUUGGUGAAUAAUUCAGCUCAUUUGGUGUCAUCAUCCUGCUCAAGUAGUAAGGGGAGUUUUCUUUUCCUUCACUAUUUUCUUGGGCCAGUAGAGCUCCAACAGACCUUUCUUGUGCUGAAAUGUAUAGUAUCAGCGGCUUUCCAAGUAUAGGGGCUACCAAAACUGGAGGCUUCAUCAAGUAGGAUUUAAUGCUCUCAAAGGCAUUACUACACGUUUGGUCCCAUUUGAAAGGGACACCUUUCUUCAUAAGGUGACUGAAUGGUUGGCACCUCCUAGCUAUGUUUUAGAUGAAUCUUCUAAGGUAUGCUAGCUUUCCUUGUAGACUUUUUAAUUCAUGAAUAUUGCGGGGCUCGGGCAUUUUCAAAAUGGCGUCCACUUUGGCUUGAUCAAUUUCGAUCCCUUGAUGUCGGACAAUGAAACCAAGGAACUUUCCGAAAGUAACUCCAAAGGCGCAUUUCAAUGGAUUCAUCCUAAGUUGGUACCUCCGGAGAAACUCAAACAUCAUUCUCAAGUCUUUCAAGUGGUCGCCCCUCUUUCUGAUUUUACCACCAAGUCGUCCAUAUAGCAUUUGACAUUCUUAUGGAGAAGGUCAUCAAAGUUAUUCUACAUAGCUCUUUGGUAAGUAACACCAGCAUUCUUCAAGCCAAAAGGCAUUACCUUGUAGCAAUAAAUACCUUUGGGGGUACGGAAUGCAAUAAGCUCUUCAUCUUUUGGCGCCAUGUAGAUUUGGUUAUAUCCUGAUGAACCGUUCAUAAAUGACAUUACCUCAUACCCAGUAGUAGUAUCGAUCAUCUGCUCUGGAAUAGGAAGUGGGGAUUCAUAUUUUGGACACGCAUUGUUGAGAUCCCUGAAGUCAACGCACACUCGAAUCUGGCCAUUUUUCUCCUUAUAGGGACAAUAGUUNNNNNNNNNNNNNNNNCAAGGGAACCAAGUCCGGCCUAAAGCACUUUUGGGCUUGUUUGACAGGACGAGCACCAUUCUUGACGGCAAGGUGAUGGACUGCUACUUUAGGGUCCAAACCAAGCAUUUCUUUGUAACUCCAAGCGAAGACAUCCCUAAACUCCUUGAGUAACUCAAUAUAAGUGCUUUCUUCAUAAACUUCUAGUAAAGCACUUAGGUAGGUGGGUCUUGGUUCUUCAUCAGUGCCAAGGUUAACUUCUAUUAAGGUAUCAAUCGUCGCAUUCACCCCUUCUUCAAGUUUUGGAGGAGCAUCUUUUGCAUCUUCAUCUUCUUGAGGGUCCCCAUCGUUGAAGGAUAUGUGAUAACAUAGUGAAACAUCGUCCAAUUUCUCGUCAUCCUCCAUUAGAGAUAAAACACCAUGCUGGCCUUGUGCAGUAACAUGAUACGAAGAACCCAUACUUUCUUCGUCUUCAUCAUGUUCUUUAGUGUAGACCGCAGUGUAUGGCUUCACCUUCAGUACUUCAUCCACGUAACCAUGACUUUUGUUUGUCGCUUCAUUCUAGAAGAAACCAUCUUUGGAAAUCUUUAGAGAUCUUCUGAAUUUUGGGUGUAGCGGGUGUUCUUGUAUUUCGAUAACUUCACUAGAACUUACUCCCCUUCUUUAAUGGACCCAAUCUCUCAAAUACGAAAGUUCUCACAGUUGAUUUUCCAAGUCAAUCAAAGAUAGAAGGCCGGUUAGAAGCGGCAGAUUCGUCUUCUAUAGUGAUAUAAUUGCUACUCGCCCUUCUUAUUGAGAUGCGCAUUAGUGGCGGUUGUUUUUAUCCCAGACCUUCAUGUGGUUGCCUCAUUGAAGUUUCUGAUGGGAGCUUCCCUAACUUUGACGGCUCAUUAGGAUUGUAUCCAACUUUUGCAAAUAGCUUGUAAGCGUUAGGAUCAAAACCUUCAUCAGUUCGCUUUGUAUGGAGUGCCAUAUUCUGCAAACGAUUUUGGGCUACAAACCCUGCAAGCGGUUUUGAGGAUAACUUUACUGCCUCAAUUCAUUUUACCAAAAGAGUUAACUCCCUUAGCGUCUUGGUUUAGAGAUUAGAUGAUUCACCUUCAUAUUUCUUCCUUUUAGGGACAUAUUGGAGCGCGAGACUUACUUUCUUUCCAUAAGACGCAAUACCCUCUUUAUGAGAUUUAUUCACGUUGGCGUGUGCCUCCUCAGUAAUAGCUUUGGCUUUACCAAUAGUCACCUCAGCUCUUUUAGUUAUGGGCUCAUCAUUCUUGCUUUUCAUGCCAUCAUCAACUUUUAUCUCCUUCAUAAUACAAUUCUUCAAGUAGAACUUUGCAUCGGUGAAGUGUGACUCUGCCUCGAUGAAUGGCUCAUCAUCAGCAACUAUCUUCUUCUCGACUUCACCCUUGUAGUAUUUCAAACAUUGAUGGUAGGUAGAUGGAACCACUUUGUUCUCAUGUGUCCAAGGCCUUCCAAGCAAGACAUUGUAUGAAGUCUUUGUAUCGAUCACAUGUAGCCAUGCACUUGAUUGCAUAUCUUCAAUGGUGAUUUCCAACCUGAUCACCUUUGCCCCCAUUGGUUGAAUCCUUGGAUCAUUAUAUGACUUUCAGAGAGUUCGUUCAUGAGAAUACCAAGUUAUUUCACAGUGCAAAUUGGCAAAAUGUUGACUGUCAACCAAAAUUUGAUUUAUCCUUUUAUCACGCAUAUAACAAACCAGGUACAACAUGCGGUUAUGAAGAGUGUCACCUAGCAGAAGAUCGUCAUUUGUGAACGUGACUUUUUCCUCACAAGCAUUAACUUCUUGAGGAGUGGACUCGAUGAGCUUUUUCGGAGAUGGUUCCAAUGGUAAGUCAUCACUCUUUUCUUCCCCUUUGUCAGCAUGUAAACAAGAGGCAUCAAUAUCCUCAUGGGAAAUCUUCGUGCGGAACCAAGAUGGCAAGAAAUCCUCCAAGGUUAUUGUAUGUCGUGGCUUUUGAGGGUGGUGCAUUCCACUUUUGCUUUCUUCAAAUACCUAACUGGAUUCUUUUACAUUGGUCUUUUUACCAUCAUCUUCCUUGUUGGUUGUUCUAUUGAUUCUUUUUGUGGGCUCCUUUUGUGGCGCCUACGAUGAGUCACCAAGUCCAACCUUCAUCAUCAUCCAGUUGAUCGUCUCUAACUUUGUUGUCCACCAGUAAUUCUUCAUUUUUGAUUCUUUUUAAACUGCAUAACUCAUCUAGACUGAAUGAGCCAAAGGUGAUAGAGACUUGGUUCGCGCUUGCUUUCUCGUCUUCAAGCACGAUCUUCUUUUUACGGGCCAAGUCCAUAACUUUGGCCUUGAAGACAAAGCACUUCUCCAGAGGGUGGCUUACAAAUCGGUGAUAUUUGCAGUAAUUUGGGUCAUUCGUUUUUCCAGCUUCAUUUGGUCGCUUCAUCUCCGGAAGCUCAAUGAAAUUUAACUCGAGGAGUUCUUCAAAAAUGGCUGGCACAUCAGAAUCUAGGAAUGGGUACUCUUUCUCCUGCAUUUCUUUUAGAGUCAAAUUUCCACUUGGCUUAUCUUGAAAAGAAGUGGAUUUCAUACUCUGCUUCUUGUUCACCUUCGUCGUGAACUUCAUAGGUGACGUGUUGACAUUAAGACUUGGGUACGAACUUGCCCCACUUCCUGACUUCUUGCUUGUCAUUCCCUUUGCAAGGUUCAUAGAUGGGUAGCAUUUCAUUUCCAGUGGAGGCCAUGCUUAAUUCCAUGUCAUGGGAACGAGUUGCAAAUUCUUCAAAUGUGCCAGGCUUGAUACCUUGCAAGAUGUGGCGCAAUCCCCAAUGCAUGCCUUGGAUGCACAUCUCUAUGCCUGAAGCUUCACUGAACCUGUCUUUGCAGUUGAGGCUUGCAUUCCUCCAACGAUUGAUAAAGUCGAUAACUAUUUCCCCCUUUCGUUGAUGAGUAUUUGUAAGUUCUAUCAUACUCACAGUACGUCUUGUACUAUAAAAGUGAUUGAGGAACUCUUGCUCUAGUUGAUCCCAGCUAUCGAUAGAUCCAGCCUCGAGGUUUGUGUACCAGUCAAAAGCAUUUCCUUUUAGCAAGCGGACAAACUUCUUGAUGAGGUAAUCUCUAUAAGUCCCAGCAUUAUUACACGUCUUCACAAAGUGCGUAACAUGUUGCUUUGGGUAACCUUUACCAUCAAACUGUUGAAACUUUGGAGGUUGAUAGCCAGCAGGCAUCUUCAACAUAUCGACCCUUGCAGUGUAUGGCUUUGCAUAUGUAAGGGAGGAUUUUACAGCAACUUCAUAUUUGUUCUUAAUAGUUCCUUUAAUGAACUUUUUCAAUUGAUCGAUUGGAAUCAUCCCUUCAGAUGAGACAGGGAUAGCCUUAGUGGAUGCUGCUUGUCUUGGGGGAGAGUCACUCUUUAGAUCUUCUGGAAGAUUGUCGGGUGCAUGGGCGGAUUCUUCUUCCAUCAAGAUUCCCACCCUGUCUGUUAGCUUAUCAAUUCUAGCCUCUUGAUUUUGCAUGCAUUUGGUCAAGCCAGUGAUUGCUUCCGUCAAGUUUGCCAACUGCUCCUCCAUAGAUGAACUGUUUGUCACCAUGGCUUGCAUGAUUGUCGUGGAUGACAGAGAGUAGCAUAGAUUUUCACACAGAUUGAUUCUUGAUUGGCUCACGUUAUGUGGUGUAAGUGGGGAGGAUCCAUCACUUGAAGCAUCAUCAUCUUCCUUCACAGCAGAGUGCUUGGAUCCGGAGAGGUCAAGCAGAGCAAAAUUUUUCUUGAUCUUUUCAGCCACAUCGCUUCCUCCUUCAGAUGCGUUUGUGGAAGAUCUUGCUCUUUUUGAGGAUGAAGAUUCAAAAAUAGGGGUUGAUGCGGACGACACUUGGGGUGCUUGUUGCCCUAAAUAGCUUGCUUUGCUCCUCGUAACUGGUCCAAAGCUUCCAAAGGUAACAUCGAGGAUGCUUUCCACAUCAGCGUAGAACCUGGAGUUAGCAGCCUUGGUGGAAGUUGAACCGGAGUUGAUUUUUUUUGAAGCCAUUUUACUGUUCUCGAACUGUGGUGAUUGAAAAGUUGACAUGAGAGGUAGAGAUUGUCCCACUGGGCGUGCCAGAAUUUGUAGACAAUAAAUUGCAUCGAGAAAAUAAAAUCAAGACCGAAAAUAUUGCAACAAUCAUAGUAUUUUAUUUUGAAUAUUUGAGUGUUACAAUCUCUAUGGAUCCUCUGAUUCUUCUUGCCAAUUGUAAAUAAAUUCAAGGGCGUUUGAGAUUGAGCUUGAAUCUAUGUUUGUUGCCACGAACGAUGUUGAAUUCAACUAGCACGAACUUUGAUUUGAACUCGCACUCCUUGAACCUUGAUUUGUUCUUCGUUCUUGAGCUUGAACUUGAUUUGUUCUUCGUUCUUGAGCUUGGACUUGAUUUGUUGAACUUGAACUUGAUUGCUUGAAGCUUGAAACUUGUGGAGGAAUUUGCGGUGUUUGAUCCACGAGCUCUCUCUUGCUUCUUGUUAUAACUUCUUGUGUCUUUUCUAGGUUAUGAAGGACCCUACUUAUAGUUGUGGAAGGGAAGAGUCAUGAUAAGAACAAACUCUUUCCGACCAAUCAAAUUGAAGUGUGACAUGGCCACAUUUGAUUGUCCAAAACAUGUCACUUGCACACGUGGCGCGAUUUCAUUGGCCUUUUAGUGUGACUUGGCAUACCUUGUCAUUUUGACACGUGGCAUGAUCCUAUUGGCUCUUCCGUUUGACUUGGCGCGCCACGUCAUUUGACAUGUGGCACCAAACUGAACCUCCAGGAAGAUGUCAUCUUGGGCUUAAUAAAGUGGGCUCAUUACUUUAGCCCAAUUAAAUGGGCUAGCCCAAUGGAUUAAGACAUAUUUAUUAUAAUCCAUAUAUAUUGGACUUAUAUAAUUAAUUUAAUUAUAUUAGCACAUAAUAUUUAUUUGGACUAGCCCAAAUUAUUUUAUUGAAUUUAUAUUCAAUAAAAUUUGCAUGCCUAUACCAUCAAAAUGGGUUUGGCCCGUGAGGCCAGCCCAACCCAGCCCGCUUCUUGGGUAGGGUUAGGCUAGGAUUUUUUGAGUCCAUUUAAAAUUGAGGCUUAUAAGCUCGACCCAAGUCAGCCCGCUGGCCCUUGAGGCCUGACCUCGGUUGGGCUUGGGCCGGCCCGUGGGCUAAAAAAUAAUUAACUAUCAAAUAUUUAAUAUUUUAAAAAAUAAAAACUAAAAAAAACUGUUAACUAUAAUCCUCAUUCCCCAACCCUAGAUUGCUCAUUUACCUUCUAUAUCAACUAAAAUUUAUAUUUUUGACAUGCAUGUUAUAUGACAAAAUUAGUUUUUAUUUUGCUUAAUUAAUAAUGAACACGAAAAGUUUUAGGUGGCCAAUAAUAAUCUUUUUUCAAAAGAAAAUAUUACUUUAAGUGGCUAAUAAUUAGUUUUGAUUACUUUAAUAUAUUAUUAAUAUUUAAACUAUUCUUCAGUAUAGAAAAAGAUCAAUUUUAAAUACACACACACACAAAAAUUUGACCACUAGCAAAUUUCAGGAAUUUUAAAAAUUUCAUGGACUAUAAUGAUGAAAUCAGCAAAUGAUGUUAAUCCUGAAUUAAAAAACCUCAGCAUAUAAACUUAUUGAAGCUUUAAAAAGUAUAGAGAAUUUGCAUUUCAAUUACGAGAUUCCUCUCAAAUAUCAAGCUUUUUGUAAGUUAUACGCAAACAGAAGUUAUUUACAUGAUUAAUCGACUAUGUCACGAAAAAUAUUUAAGGAUUUAAAGAAAUUCUUUUUUCUAAAAAAAAUUGAAGGGCCGACCCACCCUAGCCCGCGACCCUCUUAGGGCUGGGUUGGGUGACCAUUUUAAGGCCCAUUCAUAUGGCGGGCCGGCCUGUCCUAACCCAUCAUAUUUUAAAAGCCUAUGAGGUUUGGGCUGGGCUAGGCUGGCUGGGUUGGCCUGUUUUGACAGCUCUAAUAAUUAGUCAUAAAAUGUCAAAAUAGCACGGUAUAGCCAGUUUUCGGACUAGUCAAUCAAAAAUAGCCACCAUUUACGAAGUCAAUGAAAAAUAGCCACUAUUUUGCUGCAACAGAGACUGGUCCCGUAUAAUAUACGGGAGUUCGGUGCAUCUGUGUACGAACUCCAGCAUAUUAUGCUGGACCGGUAUACUUUGUUGACUCCUGUAUAAUAUACGUGAGACUGGAGCACCGGUGCUCCAAACUCCAGUAUAUUAUACUGGACAUUUAUACUUGCUGGAACUCCCGUAUAUUAUGAUGGAGUUCUAGUGUACUUAUGUUGGAACUCCAACAUAUUAUACGGGAGUUCCAGCAUAGUUAUCCUGGAACUCCCGUAUAAUAUACUGGAGUUCAAGCAUACUUAUGCUGGAACUCCAGUAUAAUAUACGGGCAUAUUUUCCGGGUUUUGAACAGUGUUUUCCCUCAGAUUUAUUUUUACAUGAAAAGUGGCUCAAUUUCGAUUACUUUUAAAACUGUGGCUAUUUUUGAAUGACCAGUUGUAAAUCUGGCUAUUUUUAAAUUUCUCCCUCAUAAAAUUCGUUGAUAAACCCUUUACAGCUACUGUCAUUCAACAGUUAGGCCCAAAACAUUACCAGAUAUAUUGAUCCAACUGUACAAAGCGCAGUGUACGUACCUAUAGGCCCAACACAUUGCCAAGGCUCCCAAUUUACAGCUUUUCGGCGUAGGUGCACCGUGCACAAACAUCCACUCUUACGGAAAAUAUUUAAUGAUUAACUAGUACUUAUUUUGUCCUAAAAAUUUCAGGACAAUUCAGAAUAUUUUUGUCUUAAAAAUUUGAACCGAAAAAUUAAAAGUUAGGAAGCACCGACUAAUUCCUAAAUAGCAGUCCUUUAGAGUGGCUACCUGGUGUCAUUUCCACCAACACCCUACCAUAAAAAGUUGAAGGUAACGAGUAAUCCUCUAUUCUUAUUCAGACUCACAGUAGAAGACAAAUAAAAUGGUUCAUCAAAGAUCAAUGGAUUAUGGAAUAGUUAUAUAGGCUAAUUGAAUCUCUUGACAAUCACCUUUGCUUUUUCUAAUUUUUAUGUUAGGCUAAUUGAGGCUAUACAUGUAAAUAUGUAAUAUUUCUAUCCUCAAAAUGUAAGUUGUGUUAAACAGCUCGUGUUGCAUCCCCUUAAUUCUUUUUCAUGUCUUCUCUAUAUCGUUUCCGCCUAGUAUGUUACCAUGGUAUUCCGUAUUAAAAUUCAUAAAAUACAUCAUAUUAAAAUGUGCGUAAAUCAAACUAUAUUUCUUCAUUAACCAUGGCUUGUCAGUUUCCACCAGACUUAUUUAACAAACUAACUGCACUACAUGUCCACUGUGCUACAUAAGGACUUCUUUCUUUAUGGUCCAGAAGAAGAUAUAUUGUGCUUGAUUAUAAAACCAAUUCUGCUCUUGUAAAAAGAGAGCCUUAAAUAAAGGAGGAGACCUAUAUUUCUCUUGGGGAACAAUUGAAUACAAUGAAAAAACUAUCAAACUAGAGGAUCCAAUUCAGUUUCCUUGCAAAAUACAUUCUUCAAAUGCUCAAAAUUUUUGGGGGAAAUUCUCUCUUCCUUUUCAAGGGUUAGUGGCAGACUUAGCUUCUUCCAAUCCUAGCAACAAUAGGGGGUAAAACUUUUACAUAACAUAUGAGAAACUGGCUAAUCUGCAACUAAUAUUAAGAUAGGGAAUGCCUCCUACUUCUUGAUGGGGUGGAUUUUGAUUCCCCAGCAUUGGAAGAUCCCGGGCUUUCUGAUGUAUCCGAGCUGCUGUUCUCACUUACUCUAUCUUUGUUGGACCACAGUUUUGAGAAGAUCUUCUUGGACAUGAUUAAACCCUUUGUUUUGCCACCAGCCACCUUUUCGGCACUCAGUUUCAUGUCUUUCAAAUUACUAUCAUUGCUCCCUUCCUUGUCUCUUAACCUUAGAGUAGCAAGCUCCCCUUUCAAAGCUUUAAGCUCCUCAGCUGUAGGCACGGCAUCCCAGUCCUCUUCUGUGUUGGUCGUAGCAGAUCUUGAGCUACCAUGGGAUUCCCCUGGAAGCAAAGCCUUAAUCGUUCCAUGUAGGUCAGGAGUGCUGCCACCACCAGAUGAUGUUGUUGCUCUCACUUGCUCGAAGAACAGCACUUGUACAACUACGCGUAAAGGAAGGCGCUCAUUCUGCACAGCAUGCAUGCAAGCCUCAGCUGAUAGCUUCCGACAGUCCAUUAGUUUACAAAUUCUUUUUCUUUCACUCUUGGUGAUCUCAGGAUGUUCCUGCGAAAAAGAAAAUGAUUAUUCAGAACUCUUGAUGAUAAACCAGCCACACAAAUGUGCCUCUGGUGCUUCUCAAGGAGCAGACAGAGUGGUUUUCAACCAUUAAUUGCUUUCCUUUUCAAAUAUCUGAAGCCCAAAAACUAUAAAACAUGAUGUUUGAAAAAGAUAAAUGCAAAAUGGAUACCUUAAGGUACAUGUCAAUAGCACGGUAAAUUCCAUCAUGGGAAGGUCUAGGGAAGCCAGAGACCAUAUCAGCAAGAUUGACAAAUUUAGGCAAAGGUAGAUUUGGAUCUCGAGAAACUUCCGCAAGGUAUCCAUCAAUCACCCUUGCCACCUUAACCUUGGAAGCAUCUGAUGCAAAUGCAGGGGGCAUCUCCUGAAAUUCAUUAUCUUCAGUAUAAUUGCUCUGACCACUCCUUUGCUGCAGUAGGAACUGUUGAACAAGCUCAUGUACUAUGUCAAUAUCGUAUGUAGUAGCUUCACUAGCUGGGGCUCGAAGCAGGAGGUCAGCUACUGAUGCCUCGUCCAGCUGCAAGCCAAUCCUCCUCUUCAGUUCACUUCUUACUGUUUCUCCGCAUUCCAAAGAAAUAGAAGUCUGUAACAAUCUGAUCAAGAAAUUACAAGAAACACUAUUUUUCUCUGUCGGCAACAGAGAAGUAAUCGCAUCGACCAAGCACCGAUACUUCACAGGAUCGCUUCCUGGUAGUGUACCCUUGCUGAAUCCCGGUAGCCUUCGGUAGGCAUACACUUUCAAUGCUUCACCUAUUACUUCUGGAGACAUUCCCCGCUUAGUUUUUAUCGUCGUUAUAACCCGUUUAUACAUGUCAAUGUGAAGUUCACAAAGGUCCUCAACCCACCAGUCUCUUGGAACAAACUGUUGCAUUUUCACACCAUUCCAUAGCGGAUCACUUCCAUUUUCAGCUGGAAGAUUUUUACGGUUAUAAGUAUACGACCAGUCCACCUUUGAGGUGUCAAUAUAAGCUUUAGAUGCUACAGAGUCUAGACAAUGACUAACAAUCUUUAAUUCCUCGGACCAGGGAAGAAAAGAUUUUGUUGUUUGGAGAACAAUGAUUGAAUCUUUCCAGCUCCUGAAGAUGCUAGAAGUAAGAAAGACCUCAAUCUUGUAGAUAAGGUUACCCUUCUCUACAGUUUCAUACAUUUCCAGAUAUUCAGCUGCACAGCGAGCUGCAACCACAUUGUACGCGUUCAGAGUUACUGCCAUACCAUAACAGAACUUUGCGCAUAUUUCAAAAGCUGCAGGUCCACCAGGUACAUCGUGGAUGUUGAUUUCAUCAUUGCUUUCCUCAUUUGUAUGUGCCGCCAGCUUCUGCAAGCGACCGCUCUUCGACAGAAGUGGGAACUGGAGAAAGUAUAAUCCUGUUAGUAUUAACAGGUAACACACCGGAUGGAUCAAAUAGUAAGCAGGCAACAACAGGGAAAUGAGUAUUGUCUGCAAGUAUCAGAAUGUGAACUAUUGGUAUUACGAAGGAUUAGGCUGAAUCUCAUUGAGAGUAUUCCCUUGCUAGGCUAUCUUCUGAACAUUCAGCACUAACAAGAUGGAAUGAAGAAACUUUAGCCUUUUGAAUGCAAUGGCAGGCUGAUGCAUGCUGAAAGUGACACCGCAAAUUCAUUUUUAUGUUUUAACCACUUUGAUAACUGGUGUCAACAUGUCAAGGUCAAUGGACAACUAAUAGAUCUUAGGCUAGUAUUUCUGGGAUAUCAUGUCUAAAAGUAUCUAAAACAUGUACUUCAAAGUUUUAUAUGUUAAACACGCCAAGAAAAGAGUAUGACAAAUAUGGCCCUAAGAUGGAGAACAUACCUUGUGGACAUUAAAUUUUACAUCUCCAACAUGGAUGACCAUAUCAGUUGCCAAUUCAGUUGCUACAUACCUGCAUAGGAAGCUUAUACAUCAUCUUCCAGAUGAAACCAUUUCAAACAAUGUAAAAUCAAACAAUAUGCACAUAGCCAGCGUGUUAUGUAUCAAGAAAAAAAACUAGAAGUUAGUGAGAUGAUAACCCCUCAUUUGGAUUAGUAAGGUAAGCCCCUUACUUCUCUUUUUGAGGUAUUUAUUAAUAAAAAUUCAUUCAGCGUACAUCUGGGUGGUUUUAAAGAGAGAGGUUGAGAGAGAGAUGAUCCAUUUUCCUGGCUUAAUAAAGGACAAUCUGAGAUCAUUUGUUGCCGAAAGGCUAGCUUUGGCCAAGGCAGUGUAAUUGGUAUAUGAUCUUAAGUGCUGUAGUAAGGUUUUCCCUUGUUUAUGAGUUUCAGUUUUGCCGGGGGGGGGGGGGGGGGCUCUCAUGUAAAAAUGGUGAAUAGUUCCCUUCCUAGAGGAAAUUUCAUUCAAACCUGAUUAAAUGUACUAAGGUAGAUGGUUGGCAAUGUAACAUUCAUUAUUUCUUGACUAUGUCCUGGGAGGUUUUUCUUUUGGAAGGCGCUAUGUUAUGAGCAAACCUUUUCAUAUCUAGUUCACAUAUGCGCAAAAAGAAGAGUAUGUACUCUCUACUCCAUUUUCUCUAAAGUAAUUCAACAUUUUCUAUUUCAUGAUACAGUUUCGAGUGAGAAAAUGAUGCUAUAAAUGUCACUGCGUAGUUUCUGGUCUAUUUUAUACUAGUUUAAAGUAAAAUAUACCAUUCCCAAUUGUACUACUUUUGGCAACUAACUGAAAAUGGUGAAGCAGACAUGCUUUUGAGAUACCUAAUAAGCUAUAAAAGAAAAGAGCCCACGCCAACACAGUGAGUUUGGUAGUACUUAAAGAUUAGGUUUGGCAGGAAAUAGAGUAGAAAUUACGCGCAGGGAAGGUCUCAAAGUCUCAUCUUACUUUGUACAUGCGUCUGUGAUAUUUUUGAUAAGAGGAGAAUCAAAAUUAAGUGCUUGAGGCAAGUAAAUCCUGGUGCAACUAAGAGAAUUGUUUGUUCUAAUCCUGACCUUCACUUUUUCUCAACCAUUUUCUGCACAAGAAUAUAGCUGCCUGACCAUUGAUCCACGCCCAUCCACCUCUUGUGAAUAAAGUCUUGAGGAAAGGCAAUAAGUAUACCGUUUUCUUUUUAUGCGCUUUAUGUAAUAACUAUAAAAAUGGGCUCGGUGCACUAAGUUUCGGCUAUGCGCGGGGUCCGGGGACCACAAGAGUUUAUUGUACUACCAUGCAUUUCUACACGAGGUUGUUUUUACGGCUCGAACCCGUGACCUCCUGGUCAACAUGACACAACUUUACCAUUUACGCAAAGCUCCCCUCACUUUAUGUAAUGACUAUAUGAGAGGAAAACCAAGCAUGAACCUUACAGAUUCAAACAGGCAUAGGACAACAAAAGUAUAUCAUCCGGAAAAUAAGACAUAUAAGAACAAAAACAAUUACGUACUACCUAAUUGGAAUGAUGGGAAAAGGAAGGUGAGGAAUGCUGGGAAGGGAAAUAAACUAAAUUUCACAAAGAUGGAUGAAUUAUUGACCUGAUAUUAUCUCCUUCUGUCUGAAACUGAUCAGGCUUGGAUCCAAGUUUCAUAAACUUCAUCUUGGUGUUUAAAGUAUCUAUUUACCUACUGUUUCUCAGUUCUAAACUUUCAAUAAUUCAGAAGACAAAGCUAAGGAAGGUUAAACCAAAAGUGCUAUUAUUUCCAAACUUCACAAGCUUUCAAGAAGGAAGAGAGAUGGCUUCUUUACUGAUUCUAGUUGUAAACUCAACCACAACCAACCACAAAAUGCCAGUCCAAGAUAUUUGACCAACCGACUCAAUACCGCAAAUUUUGAGCUCUCAAAAUCAGUGUUAAUGCCACAUGCUCACCACUGAUACCACCGCCCUUCCUCUAUAUAUAUAAAUAUUUAAACAACUUCCCGUGCUUUCUCUGAAAAAGCAAACACCAGAAUCCACAUUCCUCUAUUCAAUGCUCCUCUCUCACCAAUGAAGUUGAAGGACCUGUAAUAACAAAGAAACAUCAUCUUGGUAUGUUUUCAAGAACAUAACAAAAUUGUUGACAACAAGUAUCAAUUUGGUCCGCAAGCGUCGCAUAGAUAUGAACAAACAUGCACAAGUACCCAAAAAUGUGUUCUGGACUGGGAAGGGAAAACAAAGCAAAAUUGCCUAAAACAGAGCAUCACAUUGAACAUAUAACUUGACACACAAAAUCAAACUGAAAACGUGCCUAAAGAAAACCACCAAUACAAUUACAACAGACUCUUGUCCCAAAGCCAUACCCCCCCCCCCCCAAAAAAAAAGCAAGAAAUAAUCUAGAAAUCCCGAUCUAGGCAAGCAAAGUUGGUUGAUAAAACCAAGUGCAAUGCCAAGUAAAAAUCAGAAGAAAAAAAAAGAAGAAGACUCUUUAGAAAGAAUACCAAAAAUAAUCCAAUUCAACGUGCAUUUUCCGAUAAAGAAGAAAGAGGGGAUUUUUUUUUUGAAUUAUUUGAGUGAUUAAUCUCCAAGACUCACCGCAAAAGCUACGAAAUUUCGUGGGAAGUAAAGGCAAAUCAAUCAAAACUGAGCAACGGAAGAGAGCAGAUAUACAGUACAAAAGCACAAGAGGAAGCAGAAGAACUCAAGGGACAAAGCCAAGAAGAAAUUCCAAAGGACACAAACUACUAUCAGCAAUCAGAGAAAAGAUGAAGGAACAAGAACACAGAAAACUAACCAUGAAAAAGAUGAGUUGUCGCUAAUCUAAUCUAAAUCUUUGCCAGCCACCAAAGCAACACCGUGUAUUCACAAAAAGCCAAUCUCAAGAAUGUUUCCAAACACUUAAGAAUCAGCACCACCGUCCCCACCACCACUAUUUCUCAGAAAUCCCAGUACAGAAAAUCAAGAAAACUACUAAGUACUAAUUACUCUACAGAAUAGCUAGCUGUAUUUAGCUUCUUUUUAAGUGGCUGAAACGGGAAAGUGGGGGUGCCUUCUUUUUUGAGCAAAUAAAGGUAUUAAGAAACAUCCUCCUCCAAUCUCUAAUUAUAUUCUUUCUUCUCUCCUCUUAGUAUUGGCUACAGUAUUACGCACGCCAAUCUGACACAAUCUACUCACUUUCUUGUUGCCUAACUCUUUCCCAAUUAAACAACACUUUCUUUUACCCGUAUUGUUAAUAGUUAUAGCAAUAAGAUAACGACCCUUCCAUUUCCCUCUCCUACUUUUAUAACGGUGCUUUCCAUCUCAUUUUUCUCUUACAUUAUAUAUUCAAAAAUAGCGUCAGUAAAGUCUGUUUUUUUUUUCUGAACUAGGUUAGCCUGUGAAUGGCCUUUGUUGGGUUGAAAUAUAUUGGUCUAUAUAUUGCAAGGUUAGAGUUAUAAUUAUUGAGCUGCUUCAAUGUGGAAUUAGCAAAGUAUAAUUAAUCUCAAUAUAGAUUACAGAUUAGUGCAAAAGUAAUCUGAUUAUGCUGAAUUGUCUAAAUGCUAAAGCCGACUUAAACGAAACGGACUUUAAUAAUUACAAGGAAGUACUAAUACACAUAGUUGACCCAAAAUAAUUUUAAAAUUAAAGCAUAAUUCGUUGAUUAAUGCUCCUCCAGUCCCAAAUUAGUGGUUUAAAUAAAUUGACCUUUGUUGAAUUAUAUUUAACUCUUUUAUAAACAAACAGAAAGACAUUAAUUACUUUUAUAUCAGUUUUAGUUUUAGUUUUCAGUUAAUUUUUCUUGAGCCGAUGGUCUUUCGGAAACAACCUCUUUAUUCCCUCGGAAUAAGGAUAAAGUUUGCGUCUCACUACCCUCCCUAAAUUUUACUUGUAAAAUUUCACCGAGUUAUUAUUAUUGUUGUUGUUUUCAAUUAGCUGAGUGUUUAUUACGUGAAACGUUUAAAAAAGAGAUAUAAGAUUGCGAAUUUGGUCACACGAAUGUCAUAAACAAAACUAUACAAAAUAUUUGAAGUGUUGAUUGAUUGGGACAAUGUUACAUCAAAAGUAAAUUUGAAGCCAGUAAUAUUUAUUAGUAGGAACUAUGAAAUAAGGACUGGACGAUAGGGUGGGUGGCACAUGGGUCACUCAUGGCUUAAAACAUAGGAAUUAGGACUGCGUUUCUUUUAAGAUUUUUUUACCUCAUAUACCAAAAGUUAACCCCUUAUUUACUUUAAAUAAAUAUUAUUUAAAAAAAUUACAUUUUAUAGAUACAUUUUAAUGUUUGUAGCAAAAUAUCUAAUUUUGGUUACUUCCUACGCUUAAGCCACUAAAUACGCUAUUCAGUUACACUAUUUUCUUUCUCUCUCUACUUUGAUACAUGUCAUUCUCUUCCUCAAUUCCCUGAAAACACGAUACUCAAUCUCAAAAUUACUCUCACCCACAUCAUCUAUCAUUAGUCACCUUUCCAAAUUUCAAUUUGUCCAGGACCCACGCUCUCUUCUCUCUACUUUGCUAGGGUUUCGAUACACAGAUCCCAUUUUUUCACUCACUCUGAAUCAUCUCGAUCCAGUAGUAUUCCAUCUAGGGUUUCGUCAAUCUCGAUCUGAAAAUGGCAUCUUUAGCGGCAGUUUCGGCGCCCCUUGCUGCUCCUUCAUCUAAAACCGAGACAAAUUCCUCUCACCCAUCUCAAAAUUUCUGUUAAUAUAUUUUAAUGUAUUUUCAACGUAUCAUGCUAUAUUUUCAUGUAUUUCAUUGUAUAUAUUAUUUUUUUUUCCAUUGUAAUUCAAUGUAUUUCGUUGUAUUUCAUUGUAUUCACUGUCUUUUUUUCCAUUGUAUUUGAAUGUAUCCCGCUGUAUUGUAUGUAUUCAUUGUAUUCACUGUCUCGCUAUAUACCAUGAAUGUAUUCNNNNNNNNNNNNNNNNNNNNNNNNNUAGGAGUCUAUCAUGUUAAUUGAUUCACUUUCCAUUUAAAAAUAAUGGUUUCACGCUGAAUACAGUCGAAUAAAAUAAUCUGUUCAGCUGUAAUCCCAUGUUUCACGCCAUAAAUACAGUCGAAUACACUCGAAUAUAACAACUGAUUAACUGGACUUCCCUGAUUCACGUCUAUUUUUGCUAUUAUUUACAAUCCGUAAUAUAGCAGAUGAUAUGUGUACAUAGCUAAUUACCAAUAAAAGAUAAUGUUUUAUGAAAAUUUCUCUUUCUUUUUAGUUUAGAUAAUUAGACUUUCCCUCGCUUUUGCAAUUUAGUAUACACAAAAGACUUGGAAAAAAUAACCAUUUCAGCGUAAUUUCCACGUUACAUUUGAAUGGUCAACCAACUUCUCCCAAUGAGAAAACUUAGUAAUAGUUUGAGAGAAUUCUCAUUAACUAAUGGAUUGUAAAUAUUGAACUUAUCAUCUUUUAAUUUAACAAUUAUGUACAGAUCUAUUCAAUGCGACAAACUUUUUCUUAGCAUCACGUUUUGCUCUCAAGAGCCAAAUUAAAUUUGACCCUUAAUAAACUUCUAUAGCCAUUUUCAUAAGAGAAAUAUUUGUAACGACAUAAAUGCUUUCUACCGGUUAAUACAUGAACUAUAAAUAAAAGACCAAGAUCUCCUCUGAAUUAUAAAAGAUUAUUCAUACAUAGUAUAGUUCAAGCGACAUAUUUCAUAUUUGGCUGCCUCGAUCACAAACUAAAAUUUAAAUAAGAAAAAGUUAAGGAACAAUUUGGAAUUUUAACCUAAUUAUACUAUAAUAGAAACCUAUUUACCGCCUUUAUAUUUACUAAUUAUAUACAAAAUCAUAAAAAAGAAGAAAUUCAAGAUCCCGUAAAUCUAGCCUAUCAGUUACAUGACACCUAAUCCCCAUUUCCAAUAGUCCUCCCUACAUUUAAGAUUCUUUCAUUUUCCAAAGAAUUGCAAAAACAUCUCCUCUCUUUCUUAACAAUUACCCAAAAUUGUUCUUACUCACAGUAAGAAAUUUCGUUUACCCACUGUUAUCCAAAAUCUUGCUUACCUAAAAUCUCGCUUACCCAUUGUUACCCCCCUAAAAAUGCAAGUUCUUUUCCUCUUCCAAAGCUUUUGAAAUUCAAUUUCUCUUUUUCUUACUAAUCACCCAAAAUCUCUAUUUCUUAUUAAUACAAUGCAAACGAAAUUCAGAAUAUUGCUCUAGAAUCAAGUUGUGGGUAAAUUUUGAAUAUUAUUUUCUUUCUUUCUAAUAUCUUUAUUGUAUUUGACUUGUAUAUGAUACAUCAAUACCCAAAAUAAUACUCGAUAAAAUACUAAUACAAUUAUAAUAUAUUUUUAGUGUAGAGUUGCGAUUGAAACUUGACGAUGAAGAUAAUAAUUGUAUCACAAUUUUUCAGAAAUGUAUCGCGAUUGUAUUAUAAUUGUAUAUAUCAUAAUUGUUGUAGGAACGGUAUUACAAAUGUAUGAUAAUUGUAUAUUCAUUAUAUAUUAUUACGAGCAAUUGUGAUUUUCUGACGUAUUUCACAGUUUGUAUCACAAAUAUGAUAAUUGUAUAUUAAUUUAUCAGUAUUGUAUCAGGUAUUAUUUUGGAUACUAAUAUACCAGAUACAAUUGUGAUACAAGCAUGAUAUAUAUUAUUACGAGCAAUUGUGAUUUUCUGACGUAUUUCACAGUUUGUAUCACAAAUAUGAUAAUUGUAUAUUAAUUUAUCAGUAUUGUAUCAGGUAUUAUUUUGGAUACUAAUAUACCAGAUACAAUUGUAAUACAAGCAUGAUAUAUUUAUGUUUGCAUUGAUGUAUCUCAUACAAUUCAAAUACAAUUAUAAAUUAAGUUAUCAUACAAUUUUUGAAUAUUUUUUAAUAAUAUAAAACUGUCGAAAAUGGUGGGAAGAGAGAAGAUGGAGAUUCUGGGCGUAGAUUAAGUUUUAAUGUAAAAAGAGAGAGAGAGAAGAGGAGAGGGACAAAAAGAAAAUAAUGUAAUUGAAUCCCUUAAUUGAAGGCACUAAUAAUAGGGUGAGAGCCUUUUAAGAAGCAAUAUGCACAAUUUGUAAGAAAAACUUAAAUACUUAUUAAAAAUUGUAAAAUAUAGAGAACAUAGGUAAAUAAAUUUCUAAUAUAGUAUAACUAGGUAAAAAUUCAAUUAUAGAUAAAAUUUGUAGUGUCAAUCCAGCACAAGUCCGAGCAAAACCAACCCAGCAGACAACUAACAAGAUGCCCCCUUCACUUCACAAACACCGUAUCUAGGUAAGCCGCAUCAAAUUGAAUUGUCGUAUAUUCGAAUAAAGAAUAAAUUAAAGUUAGUUCAGUGUAACUCUAGAAUUUGAUUAAAUGAAACCCCAAUAAACUACAGUUCCAAACAAUUUACGCCAAGAGUUUUUUGAACCAUGCAAUGGAGUAGUCUAAUCAAAAAAUGGGCAUCCCCUCUUCACCUUAUGGACAAACUGCGACCACAUCUUUUCUCUUUAUCCAAAACGUCUUUCGUUUUAAUUUUUCCUCAAAAAUCUCUCACAUGCCCAUGUCCCCAGCUCCAAAACUCCUCUUCUUCCAAUGUCACCUAAAAUCCAUAUUAUAAUAUUUUCUGACAUGCCAUAUUCUUUGUUCUUUUACACUUUCCUAUAAUAAUGCCCCCAUUGCUGAAUUAAUUAAUAAAUUCUAACAUUGUGUAAGGAAUCUCUUCGCCCAACACAUUCUUUUACUACUAGUAUAAACUUCUCUGGUCUUCUUCCUUUUUUUUUAUAUACAGUGGCUAUUAUAGUUUUGCAUCAAUAAGAUCUAUACAAAGAUGCAAUUGAAAUUUUUUUAGUAUAGCAUUGAGAAGUGGUUUAAGCUGACAUAGAUUUUAGAGGCAAUCUUGAGAAAGAUACUAUCCACGAAAGUUGGUCGGAUGUCUCUAAGAGUUUCUUGCAACAUAUGACAAUCAACAAUUGACAAUGUUUGGUCUAACAAACUUUUUCUUGCCAUCACACGGGUGCGCGCAGUGCACUUUGCUUCACAUGUGGUACUUGUGGAUGUCUCCUUUCCUUCGUCACUGGAAGAUAAAAAAAACUAUAGUUCUUAAUAUUUGGAUCUUAUUAGUGAAUUAUACAAUUCUUCUUAUGUGAGCUUUGUAUAUAAUGACAUUUUUCAAACCCGAACAAAGAGAAUAAUUAUCGUCAAUUUAUGUUAUCGUAAAAAUAGUUUAAUUAUGAUGAAUUAUUUAAAUGAAUUUGAAUAGAGCAGACUGAGGAUUGCAUAUCAUCCUCCUUAAUUAAAUUUAAGAUUGACAAGUUUUUUGUCAAAUCAGAGAUUAACCAUGAGUGUAGGCUGCCAUUGAUGUGGCACCUUGAGCUCGAGAGACAAACGAGAGAUUGAGCUGUGAAAGAAAAGAAAUUUUUGGAGAAAUGAAAAUGAGAAAAUCAAGACUAACCUGUAUUCAUUUGUUAUGUUUCUUUUAUAUACACACGUAUGAUAGGAAAAGAAAAUAUCUAAUCGACUAAUGCUAACACCUAAUUACAUAAGUACCCCAAUAACUGCCUCACUUAUUUAAAUGGGAUAGCUACUACUAAUGUAACGACCUGGCCGGUCAUUUUAAGAAUUAACGCUCCGAUCCCCUAUUAACUGCUUUCCCCGUAUUUGUUUCUACUAUUGUGAGUUGACGGGAGGAUUUAUGUGGAGUUUCGGAGAGUUUUGGGACACUUAGUCCCUAAAUGAAAGUUUAAGUCUUAGAAUUUGGACCGUAGUCGGAGCAGUGUGAAGACCGCCUCAGAAUGGAAUUUCGUUGGUUCUGUUAGCUCCGUUGGGUGAUUUCGGGCUUUGGGGUGUGUUCGGAUUGUGUUUUGGAGGUCCGUAGCUUAUUUAGGCUUGAAAUGCCGAAAGUUGAAUUUUUGAAGUUUCCGGUUCGAUAGUGAGAUUUUGAUACGGGGUCGGAAUGGAAUUUCGAAAGUUGGAGUAGCUCCGUGGUGUUGAUUUUGACGUGUGUGCAAAAUUUCAGGUCAUUCGGACGAGGUUUGAUAGACUUUUUGAUCGAAAGCGUAAUUUGAGAGUUUUUAGAGUUCUUAAGCUUGAAUCCGUGGUUAAUUCGAUGUUUCGAUGUUGUUUUAGGUAUUUUGAGGAUUGGUAUAAGAUUGGAUAGUGGUAUAUGACUUGUUCGUGCUUUUGGUUGAGGUCUUGGGGGCCUCGGGAUGAUUUCGGAUAGUUAGCGGGAGGUUUGGAGUUGAGUUUGGCAGCUGAAGUUUUAUGGUUGAUGUCAUAACCUCAUCUGCGGUUGGGAGGCCGCAGGUGUGACUCCCGCAGAUGCAGAAGCGGACAUCUGGACGCAUCUGCGAUGGCGCAAGUGCGAGAGAGUGACCGCAAAUGCGGUCCCAGACCUUUAAGUAAAAACCACAGGUGCGGUGGGUUAGACAGCAGAAGAGGAACCGCAGAAGCGGGAAAUGACCGCAGGUGUGGAAUCCCUGGGUCAGAAGGUAUAUAUUUCACCCUUCGCGAUAUCUGGCCAUUUUUCUCAAUAUUUCAUUAGGGGUGAAGCUUUUGGGAGCCAUUUCAAGGGAGAUUUUCAGAGGGAUUCAUUGAGGUAAGGUCCUUGGUUCCUAAGCUCAUUAUUGUGGUGAUUUUAUCAUUAUAAGCAUAAAGUUUGAAGGAAAAUCAGUGGUAAAUUGAGGGUUAGCGCUUGGUUAAUUGGAGAGCUUUGAGUGGUGAUUUGAGGGACCAUUUGAGGUCCGAUUUUAGUACUUUUGGUAUGAAUGAACUCGUGAGAGUGUAAGAAUUCCAAAUUUGUAAAUUUCACCCGAUUCCGAGACGUGGACCCAAGGGGCGUUUUGGUCAUUUUUUCUAAUUUUGCGUAUUAGCUUAGAAUUUAAUUAGUGAAAUAGUUACUUGAAGUUAUAUUUACAUUAUGCAAUUGAUUUGAAUAGAUUUGGGCCAUUUGGAGAGCGUGGUUUUCGGUUAAUUUUGAGCCGAUUUGAGGUAAGUGGCUUACCUAACCUUGCGUGGGGGAACUUCCCUUAGGAUUGGUAUUGUUGAUAUUUGGAAUGCCUUGUACGUGAGGUGACGAGUGCAUACUUGUGCUAAUUAUUGAAAAUCCUGUUUUCAUUAAGUAACUUUAAUUGUGUUUCCUUUCCUGUUUAUACUACUUGCAAUUUAAGCCUGCUGUUAGCUUAGGGAAGUAUGUCUAAUGACUUAAUUGCUUUACUUGCUCAAACUGCCUUAUUUGGAUUAUGUGCAACAUGUUAGGUUAGAAAUACCUGUUUUACCUUGGUAUGCAAUUUGAAUUGAAUUGUGUAUUCUUCGUGUUGCUGUUGUGUGUUUACUUUGGGACUACGAGACGGUAUCCCGGGAGAUCCCUCUACAUGUUUACUUUGGGACUACGAACUUGUAUUCCGGUAGAUCCCCCUGCAAAUUUACAUUGGAACUACGGGACUGCACCCGGUAGAUUCCCCCUGUACUGGAUAUUUACAUUUGGGACUACAGAUCGGAAUUUCGGUAGAUCCCCGCACAUUAUGAGUUGGACUACGGGAUGGCACCCGGGAGAUCCACUAGAUAUUUAUAUUUGGGGACUAUAGGACGGUAUCCUGGGAGAUCCCCGGUUGUUAUCUCUGUGUUGAGCUGUAUUCCUUUCCGUGAUUAUUUUAUCUCUGUUGUAGUUGUUGUUGUUCUUUCUAUCCUGUGUUACUUGUUACUGUUGCACUUAACUAUACUGUCUUAUUCUAUACCGUUAUACCUUAUUUCUCAUUUAAACUUAGUAGGGCCCUGACCUUCCUCGUCACUACUCGACCAAGGUUAGACUUGACACUUAGUGAGUACUGCUGUGGUGUACUCAUGCCCUUUCUGUGCAUGUUUUUCAUGUGCAGAUCCAGGUACUUCGACUCAACCCUACUACCCUUGAGGCGAGGCGAUUCUCUAGAGACUUCGAGGUAUAUCUGCCACGUCCGCAGACCUAGGAGUCCCUUUUCCAUUCUCUCUAAUAGUUUAGCCCUUCUGUAUUUAUCUUGAUUUAGACAUUCUGGAGUUAGAGUUUAAUGUAGUAUUUAUAGUUUGUGAUUUUAUGAGAUUCCGGGUUUUGGGAAUUGUUUAGUUUCUGAGGUCUUGUAUUGUUAUAUGCCAAGCGGCAUCUUAAACACUUCUAUAAUUGUUUAUAUUCAGUUUUUAUUAGUUUUCCGCAUUUUGGUUCUCUUUCCGCAAUUGUUAGACUUACCUAGUCGUAGAGACUAGUUGCCGUCACGACAGUUUGGAGGGCGAACUUGGGUCGUGACAACUAAUUACAUGAAUAAAUACUCUCAAUAUACCCCCUCAAGUUGGAGGUGAGGUACUCACAACCAACUUGCUAAGAAUAUUAGUGUGCUUAAUCCCAAUUAAGGCCUUGGUUAAUAUGUCUGUUAAUGGAUCAUGUGUGGAAAUGUGGUGGAGGCUGAUUAGUUCCUUGUGUAACUUAUCCCUUACAAAGUGACAAUCCACCUCUAUAUGCUUUGUACGCUCAUGAAACACCCGGUUCCUUACCAUAUGCACUACAGCUUGGCUAUCACAGAAGAUAGAGAUAGGAUGUAAGUAAGGUACUGUAAGCUCUUCCAACAAUCUCUUAACCCAGAUUAACUCUCCAACUACCUUCCUGACAGACCUAUAUUCUGCUUCUGUAGAGGACAAGGACAUUGUCUCCUGUUUCUUCGAUUUCCAGCCAAUUGGAACAUCAUUAAGCAAGAUAAUGUAACCACUCACUGAUUGUCGCGAAUCACCAUGCUGCCAAGUCUGAAUCAUAGAAAGCCUUUACUGUACAAUCUGAACUAUUGAAAAGGAAGAUUCCCAAGGUUUGAUCAUUUUUAAGGUACCUCAGAACAUGUAUGAUAGCCUUGAGAUGUGGCUCUCUAGGAGACUGCAUAAACUGGCUUAAGUGUUGUACACUAUAAGCAAUAUCCAAUCUUGUAUUGGUUAGGAAGUUAAGUUUCCCAACCAAUUUUUUGUAGUAUGUAGGAUCAGGCAAUAGAGAUCCUUCAUUGGCCUUUAGUUUGAUGCUGCAAUCAAGAGGAGCAGAAACUGUAGUAUAUUGAUUGUCAUACUCCUUCAAUUGGUCUUAGUGAACUUCCUUUGUGAUAUGAGAACCUCAUCAUCUUUAUGAAAUACUUCAAAUCCCAAGAAAUUGUGAAGCCUUCCUAGAUCUUUGAUCUUGAAUUGUAGGAAGGUCUUCAGUGCUUUAAUUUCUUCAAGGUCUGUGCCUGUGAGUAUCACAUCAUCUGCAUAGACUUCCACAAAGACAACCAAAGUGCCAUCCCUUUUAUAGAACAAUGAAUAAUAAUUUGCCAAAUAUGUGAAACCCCUUGUACACAAUGACUCACUUGGUUUAUCAUACCAUUGCCUGCUUGCUUGCUUUAGUCCAUACAAGGACUUGUUCAACUUGCAAACCACAUUCGGGGCUUCAACCUCCAGCCUUGUGGAACCUCUAUGUACACCUCUUCAUGUAAAUCUCCAUGCAAAAAGGCAUUAUUUACAUCCAAUUGGAAAAGCUCCCAUCCUUUCUUGACUGCUAUGCUGAUCAAGGUCCUCAUAGUUGUCAUCUUGACGACUGGAGAAAAUGUCUUAGUGUAGCCUAUGCUAGCUUGUUGCGUAUAUCCCUUUACCCCAAGCCGCGCUUUGAAUCUUUCAACACCGCCAUCUGUUUUGUGCUUGAUUUUUUACACCCAUUUGAUAGUAUCCGAGGAAGCUCAAAUCUAUUCAAGGACAAGGAUGAAGCUUUGGGGUUUCAAAGAGGGCCUUUAACAAGAUCUCAAGCUAAAAAGGUAUAAAAUAAGUUCAUUGGACUUUAGGAAUAAUCAAAGAAGUUGCUAGUUGGGAGGAAGAGCUUAAGGAUAAAGGAUAUGAUUUAUCUACGUGUUAUAAUUAUUUUAUGGCCCAAAUUCAUGUCCAAUAAGAGGUGGAUUAGAUCCCAAGAAACAUCCUCUGAAGAAGGUCCAAAUCAGGCCACUAUUGGACCAAUUUAACACCUGAAAUGUGUCCAAACUUGCAGCCCAUGAAGUCCUACAUAAAGCCACAUUUUUAUAGCAUAAAAAGGACUUACUUGAUGUCCAAGAAUAGUACAAUAGUCGUGCUAGAUGUUGAGUGCAAGUUGGUGCCAAGUUGUUUGCAAAUUCCUUCAAGAUUUCCAAGAUUUUCAAUAUUCUAUCUAAUAUUGGUUUGGGACUUAUUUCCAUAUGUUAUAGGACUAUAUUUAUUGCUUUCCUAGCUAGUUAAGGUUAUGUUUUCCUUUUACUAAAAUUUUUGAAAUUACUUUCUAAGAAUGACUUGGUUUUUGCUUCCUAGUAUUUUCCUUUUCCUAAGGUAGUUGGAC